UAUGAAUUUGGUUAAUCUCCGAUAAAAAAAAAACUAGCGAAAAUGCAUGAAUUUUGAACUACUAAAGAAAAGUUCUCUUUCCUCAAGGACAAAAAUCAAGCUCUUUAAGGACGUUUGCUAGCUCUUUAAUUUUCUGUUUUCACUUUUUAAUUUAAAAAACAUCACAUUGUUUUCAACCUUUUUCCUGUUCUUAAAAAAUUCAAUAGAAAACAGAAUAUUAAAAACAAAUGUUUUCAAUUUUUCCUAUGCAAAUAUUUGGAAACAGAAAACAGAUUGAAAACAAAAUAUUUUUUUUUGUAAUUAGAAGAUGAGAUAGAAGAUAAAAAUGUAAGUAAACAUCCCCUUAUAUUUACCCACAUGUUAUCCAAUUACAUGAAGAAAAAUUAAUGUUCUUUACAACAUUGAAUUACUUUCAACAUUAUCUGUUUUACAAAAUUUGAAAAACAUCCCCAGAUUAUUAGAUUGGAGAAAAUGACAUCAAGGAGACGAUGAACUUGACCUAACUUUGGCAUGUUCCAGUUUCUCAAUAAAAAAGAAAAUAAAUUGCAUACAGGCCUAGAGUGGAGUUUUACUGAUGACAAGAUAGCUAUAAUAUAAGAGUAAAGAUACAUGUGCUUGUGGGUGCUAUCAGUAGAAAGAACGAAUACAGAAAGUAACUAAGAUAUAGUUUUCUUGAAUAAGAGGCAAAUAAAUAAAAUAGUGACCUCAGAUUGCAUCAACAGAACAUUUUAGGUAAAGACAAGAAGCAAGAAGUUAAUAUUAAAACAAACUCACCUUUUGCGAACCCCUCCACCCAAUUCUGCAUCAGUGUUGCUCACAUGGAGAGCAGAAACUUUUUGACCAUCUAAAGGAACAGAUAAGAGAGCUUGAGGAGUAAGUGAGUUCACAUCCCACAAAGAAAUGGAUUCAGCUUCAGCAACAACUACUUUCCCUCUGUUCCUCCACUGCAAAGGGCUGCAAUAAUCCAUGGCCAGAACAGGCUUCUCAACAUCCCAUUUCAUGAUUUGCUCGCCAUCGCGAACAUCGAAAACUUUGACAGCUCUCUGUGUGCUGGCUGUUGAGAUGAUGAGAGGUCCACAGGGCCUGUACCAACACUGCUUAGGCUCUGCUGCCACAGUGCUGGAGGUAGAAUUUCUUCUUUGCACAACGUUGUUAGGCAAGGCUCUAAGUGCAAUUCUUGAGGAGGCUGUUCCAGAAUCUACCUGCAAAGCUCGCACUUCUUUGGUGUAAAAGUCCCACGAGCAAAAUCCUGAAUCCAUAGUAUUGCCAGCAGAUGCAGCUACUACAAACCUUCCAGAGCAACCAUCAGAACCAGGGGCACGAAUUACCCAACAAUCUCUCCAUAUAUUGGGCAAAACUUCUGGGGGUGGCAUAUACACGGCUUUUUCCUGGAAGAAUGAUGAAUUGUCAGCAGAAAAAAAAAUGCUUCUUUCUUCUUUAAUCAAUCCCAGUAUGAAUUAUUAGUACUUUCACAUGGAAAACGUCUAUGUCAUAUCCCUACAAUUCUGCACCAGUCUGAAAACCCCUACAAUUUUCUUUUUCGUUUCAUAAUCUGUUUUGUAGACCCUCAAGAAAUAUAGUACUAAAUAAUAACCAACAAUCAUAUGAAUAACUACCUCAGUAUUUAUUACUAUCAACGUUCAAAUCAAAAGAACUUGAUGAGACCAAAAAUUAAUGACACCAGCUGAAACUCUAGGGGUCCAUAUGAUUAAUUAUGUGUUAUGCAGAACAUUCAAAUCUCACCAUUAAAUCUAAACGUGGGUCAUUUUUUAACAUUCAUCAUUAAUUGUAUCUUUUUAAACUAAUCUUUCAUUUCAAGCCUUCGAUUUUUGCACCUGUCUGGAAAAUUUUAAAUGAAAAAUAAUAACUUUUUUCAUAAGCACUUUAGGAAAGAGUUAGAAAUAAGCAUAUUAUUCUUUCAAAAUAAACUGAACCAAUACAAACUGAAAAUUGAUAGCAUCACAUAAAGAGACAUAAAUAAGCACAAUGCGGAUGACCCACGACAAUAGUCACCACUAUAUCUACAUUCAAAUCAAAGAUGAACUUGGGGAGACCAAAACUAAUAACACUAGAUUGAUAUUUUAAGGUCAUUCAAUCCUCUUAUAGUACCUUUCAUUGAGAAGAUUCAUAAUUUCAGAUCCUAUCACUUAAGUCCAAUCUAAAUGGCCACAAAUACAACAAAUAAUCAACCGUCUAACGAAUCACCUACAUCAAUUCACCAUCAUUUUAUUCUCAACUCAAAAGAUCUACUACUCCUAAGACCAAAUCAACAACACUACUCCACAAUUUGGCAUUCAGAAUCUGCAACAAAUGAAGAACACAUACCUCACAAUUGGCAAUAUCAUAAUAGCUGCAAGAACCAUCAUGAUGAGUAAGGAGGACUGCUUCACCUUCCGAAACAAACCACCCACCACAGGCAACCUUGUUACCAAUCCCAUUCAGCCUAAAAUUGAAAGCCUCAUCCAUCUCCUCCACAACCGCCCCUUCCUUGUUCUCCUGAUCAUCAAACUCCUCAAGCUUCUCAUCCGCCGCGAGCAUCGGAUCCAUGCCGUUCCUCGGAUCACUCAAGCCCCCAUUCGCACCACCCUUGUCCUUCAUUUCCUCCUUAGCAUUCACCUUAUCAAUCAAGGCCAAAAACUCAACCGCAACUGAGUUAUCGUCAACAGGGCUCAACACCUUCUCUUUUUCCAAACAAUGCUUAUCCUUAUCACUCUCAACAACCACUGUCCUCUCCCGAAGCAGUUUCUGGUGAGGAAAAAGACGCGCCUCGAGUUCCUCGUUGUUCAAUCUAGACCCUUUGACCAAGUUCUUGUCUUUCCCAAGGGUGUCGCAUUCACUGUCCUUAUUGGAAACAACAUGAACCAUGGCCUUUUCAAUUCCUGAGAUCUUGUCCUGAAUGUCGGAAAGAAUCACCUUGGAGGCAUCAGGGUUGUUCAUAUCCAACAUCUCCUUGGUCUUCUUUAUGUCUGAAGCUAUUCUCUUCACUUUGCCCUCGAGAAAAGCGAGCUUCUCGUGAAGCCUGCUAGGGCCCUUUGCCCUCGUGCUGCUACUUCCAUCGGUGGGUUCUCGGGAGGUGGUGGUGGUGGUGGUGGAAGGCUUGGGCUUUUGGGCGUUGGAGGUGGAAAGUUUGGGUUUUUGUAAGGUGGGCUUGGGGGUAGGAUCACGGGUGGGCUUUUGGGCGGAGGCUCGUUCGAGGGAGGCCCGGGAGACAUCGGAGGGGCUGGAACUGCGGCCGCGAGGGAGGGUUUUGAGGGUUGGGUUGGAGCGGGAGGUGGAGCGGCGAGGGUUGGAGUUUUCUUUGAGGAGAGAAGGGGAAGGGCGCGGCGAGAGGCGGAGAAAGGGCGGGGACGGACGGCGGCGCCGUCGUCUCCGCUACCGCGGCGAGUGGCCAUAUCUGUGUGGAAUAAAUCUAUAACAAAUUGAUUGAUCUGUUUUGUGGUGACAGAAAGAGAGAGAAAACGAAAAAGAAGAAAUUUGCAGAGUGAAUGAAUGGAUCGAAGGGAUUGAGCAAAAGGGUAAGCGGGAAAAUCACUGCGAUUUUGAGUUUUGAAAUUUCUUCGCCGGGAAUUUGAUUUCUUCUACACUUUACAAUAUUUAUAUAAAUUUAAGAAUUCAAAAUCCCUAAUUGAUACCACAUUAAUGAUUAAUGAUUUAUCAAAAAUCUUCAGUGAAGUUUUUAUUUUAACUAUGGAAGCUUAGUUUUUCAUCAUCCCAUAAGAAAAGUUUUGUAAGAAACUUUAUUAAAACCUAGUUUAUUCAGAAUGUUAUAUUUUUAUAAAUAUAUACAAACAAAAAAUCCAAAUUUAUAGAAACUAAUUUUUUUCCUUCCAUUCUUAAAUUCCUAGAUAUAAGGCUAAUUUUUUAUAGUUAUUUAAAGUUUUUAUAUUAUAGUUAUUAAUUUUAUAUGUAUUAAUAUUAUGAUUAAAUAAUACAUUGUAUAUAUACUAAUAUUAUCUCAAAUAUAUUAAGUUCUUGCUUCAAUGCUUAGUGCUUUUAUUAAACUAUUUAUUUUACAAUAAACAUUUAGUUUUAACAAUUUCAUUUAAUUCAUAUUAAUUUAAAUGAAGUUAAAAAGAAAAAAGGAGAAAAAUAGAAAAGGAAAUGAAAUGAGAUUGAAUAAAUAAAAGAAAUGCAUCAAAACCUGUAAUAAUAAUUUACAACUUGCAAAACAACAUGUCUCUCCCUCACUUCUUCUCUUUCUCCCUAAACUCUUUCUUCACAUAUUACUCUCUCUUUCACUCACUAUUGGGCUCCACCGGCCCACUUUCAGACCCAGACCCAUAAUCUGAAACCGAAAUUUUGACUCACUCCAAUUUAAACCCUAUUGGGCUCCGCUGGCCCACUUUCAGAGCCAGACCCAUAAUCUGAAACCGAAAUGUCAGUUAGAGAGUCUCCUCCUUUGGACGAUCUUCCCGAGGAUUUCUUCACGGAUCCAUCCUCCGAGUUCUUCGAUUUCCGCCGGCUGCCUUUCGCGCUCGCCGGCGGCAUUUCCUGGGACGACGGCGACUCACCGCUGUGGUUGGAGCUACGCCGUGGUCUCCGGUGGCGGGAGCUGCCGGUGGAGGUGUCUUGACUUAAGGUGUCCGCGGAGGGGUCGGAGGAGCGCUGGUGGCGGCGCGAUGUCUUCGGUCUAGGCGCCUGGCCGUCGGGGUCGUUGGAUUGGUUUCGGGACUUGGGAAUCAGGUGGCGGCUCCUCGAACUUCUCGAACUUUUCUCCCUUUCACCUGAAUUUCAACGAAGAAGACGAACUCAAAUGAACCAUUUCUGGAACAGAUUUUAGGUCAAUCUUUUGUUUUCUUUUUAAUAAAAGUUUUCAUUACUUCUCAUCUCAAAUUUUAACUAAUAAUAAUUAUAAAAAAAUAUUAUUAUAAAAAUAUGAAGAAACGAUAAAAAAAAAAUUGUUAAGAAAACUUUAUCUAUUUAUAAAUAAUUCUAAAAAUAAAUUUUAAAUUAAAAUAUGAGGUCAAAAUUGUUUUUUAUUACUCACUCUUUAUUUUUACCAAAAUUAAAUUUAAAUCCUUAUUUAAAUUUUAGACUUUAUUUUUUAUCAAAGUUAAUUUGAAUUUAUUCUUUAUCUAAUUUUUUUAUUUCGUAAAUUUAAGUUUUUUAUCAACAUGAAAAAUAAGUUAUCAUUGAUCUUUAAUUUUUUUAAGACACUUUUAAGCCUUUUUUUUUUCAAGAUGUCAUAUUAUUCUAUUCGAUUUAUGUGUACAAAAUCUAGAACCAUUAUUUUUUUUAUAAAGGACAACAGUGACUUAAAAUUAUAAAUUAAAGAUUAAUAUGAUGAGUUUUAAUAAUUAAAAAAAUGAAUGACAAACUUAUUUUUGCCAAAAAUCUUAUGAUAUUAGUAACCCUAAAUUCUUUUGAAGAAGUUAAGUACUAACUCUUCAUGAUAUUAAAAUCUAUUUAAAGAAUUAAUUUCUUGCUAAAUACAUAUAAAUAUGAAAAUUAAACUCCUGAUUACAUGCUUAAUAUAUUUACUUCAUCAAACCUUGUGUUCCUAAAGUAUAUUCAACAUUCAUACCAUAAAUUUGGAAGUUGAUACAUUUCACUAAAGUUUAAACACUAAUUUGAAGGAUUAUAAUUUUUUAAAUUGUGUUUUUAUUUUUAAAUAUUAAGAGUGGAGAAUGAAUUUUUUUCAUUAUUAGAAGAAAGUCUGAAUAAAUAAGUGAAAUGGUAAGUAGAGAAACAUGUUAAAACCUUCUUGAUUAGGGUUUCCUGAUGGGGUUUCUUUUCCUCCUUUAAACUCUGUCAUCUGCAUAAGAUUUGAAAAUGCACAGAAACUAAUGUUUCUUAAUUAAGGAAGAGUUAUGAGCUAAAGAAAGUGAUAAGAGUAGAGAAAGAUAAUAGUACCCAGCUUGGUGCAUUUGCUUGUGGAUCAUCUGAUCCAAUAUGUGCCACAUGCUUUACAUCAGUUGGCAAACCAAUUUGAAAUUGUUCUUCUUUCUCGUCUGCAAAAUACUUAUCACCAUAACUUUUAACUUUUCAAAUUGUCACCAUAAUUUUUGUAAGGAAUUGUAAGCAUAUUUAAACUACCAAUAAAAUUAUGUAGUAGGCUUUUGGAUGUAGUAAAACUUGUUUUGUGUAUACUGUUUAGACUAAAAAUUGAUUAUAAGGAUUCGGUUAGGGUAGUAGCGAUUUUUUUUAUGUGGUUGAUCAUUUCUUUAAAUUGAAAUUUAGUUUGGAGAUUUGUAAAGCCUGAAGAAUGUAUGUUGGUCAGGUGUUGAACAGGUUGAUCUUGGCCAUAUUUUAUAUAAGGGUUGUGACGCUUUGAAAUGUUUCAUUUUAUCUUAUUUAUUCUUUGUCUAUUAAAAACACUCCAAUAAAAUUAGGUAAUUUUCAAUGCACGUACCGAAUAUUUGGGAUAUGUAUCUAAAUCCUUUAAGCAAGCCUUUAACCUUGGUCGACAUUAAUCAAUGUAAAUGAAGUUUGCUGAUAUAUCUACACCAGAAAUCUUCCACUUGAAGAGCUGCUGAUUGUAUUCAAUAUUCAAUGGAAUAUAAACUAGAACCCUUCUGAAAAGAAAACAAAACAAAAAAAGUGAGCCACAUAAAACAAACCUUCAUGGCACAAUAAUUUGAGAGACUAAACCAUAAAAGUUUCCGAGUUUAUAACUUGUAGUGUUAUUGAGAUUUGAGAUUGUAAGAAAACAAAAAGGUUUUGUUAAUGCUUCUUUCCAAUGUUUGCAACUACUUUCCAAUACCUGAUUGGAAAAUAGAAAUAAGAAGAUUUUUAAAAGCCGCAUUAUAAAUUAUAUCGAAAUUUUUUUAUGGUACAAGUAAAGGUAUGGUCAUGGUUAAAUUCCAAAGCCUGUAAAAUAAGUUUUUCGUAUUCUAAUUAAUGUGUAGAACCUUUGGUACGCAUGAGAUUUGUUAGAAAAUGAUAGGGGUUUAUGUUUAUUUGUGGUGUUGUUUACAUUUGUCAGCCACGACCCUCAUUUUUAUGUAUUCUGGACUAUGUAAAGUUUUUUUAGGAUUGACUCUGACCGAAAUAUCUCAAUUUAAUUUAUUCAUUUUCGCUGGAAAAUGUAGAGUUGGGAAAAGAAGUAAGAGAAUGAAGGAUAUAAGAAGAAGAGGUACCUACCUGGGUAGUUUGAGAAAAAAAAUUAGAUGUAUAUGUUGAAAUGAUAAAGGUGAAGAAUGAAGAAGUGAGGAAGCAUAAAGAUAGAGAGAUGCAUGAGUGUGGUAGGAGAGGAAGGUUGGAGGUUGGUUUUGUGGGAGAAAAAACCAACCAUGAAGAGGAGUCUUCUUCAGGGUAUGGCAAAAUCUCAAAAGUGAAAACAAAGAAGAUUGGUUUUUGACCCACCACCCCUUGCCGAUUCAGAGUCAAAUCAAAACCACUACCUCAACAUCUUUUUAGGUUUAAAUCCACCUAUGUAGCACUCUGCAAAACCUAUCUUUGGGAAUGCCUUCUUUUCUAAAUCAAAGGUUCAUAACUCAUCAUUGCUCAACCAUAAAAACCUAAACCUCAACUCAACAUUCUAUUAAUAAGACAAAUGUUCGGUUCACACUUUUCACCUCAUCAAACUUUCUUUUAAAACCAUAACAUACAUUUAACAAACAUUUAUAAUAAUAUAAUAUUUUGAAUUAAAAAGGAAAAUCAAAAUAAAUAAAAUAUUAAUUUAUUCAAACACUACAAAAAAGGUUAGUGGUAAUUUGAUACAUAUAAAAAGAGAAUUUUUUUAACAAGAUAAUUUUGAUUUUUGUAAUAAACUUUAUGGAUAAAAAAAGGCUUAGUGUAGAUUUUAUUUUAUCAUGUAGAAAUAAAAUUAUUAUUAUUAUUAUUACUACUAGCGGGAACGGGCCCUGAGGUGCCGCAUUUUUUAUUUUUGUUUCUUUAGUAUUUUUUUUAUUUUUCAAAAACAAUUUCUCUUAAUAAAAUUAAAAUUAGAAGUUAAAGAGUAUACAAUUAAAUAGUAGUGUGUAUCCGCAUUUUUUAUUUCUCUUUCUUUAGUAUUUUUUUUAUUGUUCAAAAAUAAUUUCUUUUAAUAACAUUAAAAUGAGAAGUUAAAGAGUAUACUGUUAAAGAGUAGAUUAAUAAAAUAGUGGAGAGAGAAAGUGGGGAGUAGGUACCUAUAUAUGAGAGAGAAAGUGGGAAGUAGGAUAGGUGACUUAUGUGUAGUGGAGAAUCAUAAGAUCCGUUUCUUAAAUCAAUUUAAAAAUUCUACAAUUGCAUCCUUUUUAUGAAGAGUUUAAAUUUUAUAUCUCAAAGAGUUUAAACAUUCUACAAUUGCAUCCUUUUUUUUUUCAGUUCAUCUCCCACUUUUAUCCCAUCAAACUUUCUAUCAUUUUUUUCUCCUUUUCAUUAAACUUUCUAUCAUCUUUUUCUCCUUUUCAUUAAACUUUCUAUCAUCUUUUUCUCCUUUUCAUUAAACUUUUUAUCAUCUUUUUCUCAUGUUCAUCUUCACUUUUAUCCCAUCAAACUUUCUAUCCUCUUUUUCUCCCGAUCAUCUUCACUUUUGUUCCAUCAAAAUUUAUAUCAUAUUUUUCUCCUGAUCAUCUUCACUUAUAUCCCAUCAAACUUUCUAUCAUCUUUUUCUCCCAAUCAUCUUCACUUUUAUCCCAUCAAACUUUCUGUUUUCAAAUUCAAAUUACCAGAACCACUUCCGUUCUAGAACCACCACUUCCGUUCCAAAACCACCACCACUUCCGUUCCAGAACCACGAAAUCAAUCGGUAAGUGUUGUUUUUCAACUAUAAAGUAUAUAUUCUGAUUUUACUUUUAUUGAUUAUUCAUUUAUGAAUGUCUUUAGCAUUUUUAUAUGAUGACAAUAUUAUAAUUAUUGUGCUCACACAAACAAAUAGAACAAUUAAAAAAUUGAAAGAGAAAUUAAGUACUAGAAAAAACUGAACCAAUGAGAGGAUUACUAUAUGAGAAAACAUAUAGGAAAUUUCCAUCCAAAAGAUCGUGAUUGAGAGGCAUUGCAGUGAUAGGUGAGUUGCAGGGAUUAUGGUUUUCUUAGGGGUUUAGUUUUUUAAAAGAUUUAAAAUUUAAAAUUUAAAAUUUAAAAUGGUAAUUAAGAGGAGAUCCCCUAUAUAUAGGUAAUUUAAAAUUAAAAAGAAAUUAAUAUUUAAUAUUUAAAAUUCAAAAUUCACUAUUUUAAAUUUAAAAUGUUAGUUAAGAGGAGAUCCCCUAUAUAUAGGUAAUUUAAAAUUUAAUAUUUAAUAUUUAAAAUUUAAAAUUUAUUAGUACAUAAAACAUAUACGAAAUUAAAUAUUAAAAUUUAAAUAUUAAAAAUUCAAAAUUAAAUAUUAAAACAUUAAAAUUAAAAUUCAAAAUUUUAAAUUUUAAAUUUUAAAUGAUAGUUAAGAGGAAUCUCGGUAAUUUAAAAUAUAAAAUUUAAAUUAUAAUAUUUAAAAUUCAAAAUUUAGUUUUUAAAAAAUUAAAUAUUCAAAAUUCAAAAUUUUAAAUUUUAAAUUUUAAAUGGUAGUUAAGAGGAGAUCUCCUAUUUAGGUAAUUUAAAAUAUAAAAUAUAAAAUUUAAAUUUUAAAAUAUUUUUUUAAAUAAUUUCAUAUUUUAUAUAUUUAUUUUUACAUUUUGCGAAUUAUGAUAUGAAGAUAUUUUUUAAUUAUAUUUUUUCAUUUAUAUAAACAAUAUUUAAUAUAUAGAUCAAAUUGUUUUUUAAAUAUUUAAUAUUUAAAAUUUAAAAUUUAUUUUUUAAAAAAAUUAAAAAUUAAAUAUUCAAAAUUCAAAAUUCAAAAUUCACAAUUUUAAAUUUUAAAUGAUAGUUAAGAAGAGAUCUCCUAUAUAGGUAAUUUAAAAUUUAAAAUUUAAAAUUCACUAUUUUAAAUUUAAAAUGAUAUUUAAAGGAGAUCUCCUAUAUAUAGGUAAUUUAAAAUAUAAUAUUUAAUAUUUAAAAUUUAAAAUUUAGUUUUCAAAAUUAAAGAAGUCACAAAAUUACAAAUAUCUCCUCUCAUAUAUUUUUAAAAUAAUAAAAUAAAACAUAAAUAUUAUAAGGAUAAAAUUUGAAUAAAUACUAUUAAAUAAUAUAUGGAUUAAAAUAUUUUUUUAAAUAAUUUCAUAUUUUAUAUAUUUAUUUUCACAUUUUGAAAAAUAUAUUUUGAAUAUAUUUUUUAUUUACGCUAUCUAUUUUUUCCAUCUAAAUAAAUAAUAUUAAAUUAUAUAUGCAUAAAAAUAUUUUUUAAAUAUUAUCAUAUUUUAUGUAUUUAUUUUCACAUUUCGUAAAAUAUUUUACGAAAUCUGUUAUGAAACAAAUGAUAGUUAAUGAGGGGAAAAAAUAAGGUUAAAAUCAAUAAUGCAUAAUUUUUUUUUCUGUAUUCUUCGUUCAUAACAGUAAGAAAAGUUUAUUUAAUAAUAACUAAUCUAAACAAAUAAUUAAGUUAGAUAUUAUUUUAUAAAUUAAAAAUUUAUUAAUAUUUAAAUUGUUUGAAAAUUUUCCUUUAUUUAUUUAUUCUUUACCAUUUUAAUGCAGUUUUCUUCCAAAUUUUCUCAAAAAAACUUAUUUAGUGUCGUGAUGCAGACUUUUUUCAAGUCUUCUUAAAAAAAUAAAGUUCUGAUCUAUUUUAGGGUAGUCUUUCAUCCAAAAUUAUUAUAAAAAUUUAAAAGGUAUGUUUAAUUUAAUUACUAUUUUAAUGUAAAUUUAUUUAUAAUAUUAUAGAUAUUAUAGAUAUAAUAUAUAUAAUAUAUGUACACUACCAACUUUAUUUUGAUACUUCAUCCUGAAUUAUUAUAAAAACCAGAAAAACCUAUUAUACACCUCCUAUAUAAAACUGAAACGACUAAUAAUAUGUUUUUCUUUAUGAGCAACAAAAAUUAUAUACCUAUACGACAAAUAAUAUGUAACUAUAACUAUAUUAUCAAAAUGUAAGUAUUGAAUAAAAAUAUAUAUUUACUUAUUAAUUUUUUUGGUAUAAUCAGUAGAAAAUAAACACCAUAUGAAUAUGAAUGAUGAUUUUUUUCAAAAUUAUCUCAUUUUUACCUGCAUUUACAUAUCAUAGUCUUUAAAAAAAAUAAUCAAAUGAACCUAUAAACAUCUCUGUAAAUAUUUUUGAAAAAAAAUUAGAACCAUUUAUUCAACCAAAAAACACACUUUAAACGAUGAGAAGUAAAUUAAUAUAUUAAUAUAUCUUCCUAUAAAUCAGAUAUUAACUGAUAUUUUAUUGAUUCAGUCAAUCAAAACAAUGAUUCAUAAUAAACAUUAUAAAUAAAUUAUCUAUAGAUAAGAUACGCUCCAAUCAAUCAAAUCAAAGGAUCACUGAUAUCUUAUACAACCAGUUUUAGAUACUAUCUAUAUUCUCUUUGUCUAUACUAUCUAGAUCCUCUUUGUCUAUACUAUCUAGAUCCUCUUUGUCUAUACAGGUACAAUCAGUUUUAGAUACUAUCUAGAUCUUCUUUGUCUAUACAGGUACAUUAUUAUCAAUCUCUAUUCUAUAAUUUGUGUGUAACUGAAUUUGAUUUACGUCUUAUUUUGAGGGUUUUGCCGUAACAAUGUAUUUGGAUUGUAUUUGGCUAAUGUUUUCCAUUUGGCUAGUGAUGUAUGAUGUUGUGAACCAUCGCAUGCUUGUUGAGUUCGUUGCUUUUCAUGAUAAAUUUUACGCCAUAUGACUCAUUUUAGUGUGUUAUUAGGCUUUAGGGUUUAAAGAUUUUUUUAAAUAUGAUUUUAUGGUGGAAGUCGUAGUAAAGAAAUUUAAUUAAAUUGACUGUCGUUCGAUCCUUGUAAAAAUGGUUUUACUUGUUAGAUCUUGUUUAUCAAUUGCUUUACCUAUUAUAUUGUGUAGGUAUAUAUAUAUGGAAAUACCAAAUUAUAUAAAUUCUGCAUUUCGUUCAUCAAGAAAAAAUGAAGUUUAUUUUUUCAUAUACGACAAGUAUAUGCGGUUGUAUUAUACUCCUGGACAGACAAAUGAUCAAGUUUUGACAGAUUUGCGUCAGAUCGGUGAUGAUUUUGUAUCACUUCAGAGUACGACAUUUGAAGCAUAUGGAAUAGAUUGUUCCUUCGACACUGAAGGCAACAAAGCAUAUAUCUUUUGUGACCAAACUUUUGCCUACAUAGACUAUGCUAAUGACAAGAUUCUCUCAGAUACCACAACUAAUCAAAUGUUUCCUGUCUUAAAAGAUACGGUGUUUGAGCAUGUCAUAGACUCUGCAUUCAGGUCAUCCAGAGGGAAAGAAGUUUACUUAUUCAAGGGCAAUAAGUAUUGUUGCAUGGACUAUGAUUCCAAGCAACUUGUUGAACCCAUUCGUAACAUCACUGAUGGAUUUCCUGUUUUGAAAGGUACCAUAUUUGAAGAUGGAAUUGAUGCGUCAUUCGCUUCUCAUAACGAGAAUCAAGCUUAUCUUUUCAAGGGAGAAAACUAUGUAUUGAUGAAUUUCACCCCAGGUUCUACCCAUCACACUCUUGUGGAUGUUGUGAAGCCCAUCGUUGAUGGUUGGUCAUCUUUUAGAGGCAUUUUGCCUUUCAAUGAUACAUCAGUUGAUUUAGGACCUAGUUCUUAUAUUCUUUAUUAUCCAUCCUCUCCUGAAGAGCAUGAUGAAGAGCAUGAUGAAGAACAUGAUGAAGAACAUGAUGAGCAUGAUGAGGUUUCAAAAAAAUAAAAAUAAAUAAAAAAUGAUGAGCUUUGACAAAACAAGAGGCCAUGAUAAGAAUAAGGUUUUCAUUAUCAAAGUUUGCUUCCUUUUCUUUCCUAGUGUAACAAGUGUGGAUGCUUGUUUUACUUUCUGAAUGUGAUAUUUGUUUUCCUUUCUUCUAUGUGAUAAUAUGUUACAUUGGUGGAAUUUUUUAACUUCACGUUGUUGUCAUUUUUUUAUUUAUUAUUUUGUUAUUAUUUUUACACUUCUUUAAAGAAAAGAGGAGUAUAUUAAUUAAUAUUUAUUGAAUUCAAAGAGAACACAAACGCAUAGAGAUAGAAAGAGGUGUGAAAAGAACUUUUCAAGCAACAAAGGAAAAAAUAUAAUCAUGUCUUGACAGAAUUUAUGCUGUUACAUUUGUCUUAGCUGAGAUUAUUUUGCCCUUGGAGUGUGUCUCUUAACCAAAAGUGAUUUCACGCCCUCUUUUUGACAGUUCUUUUGAGCUUCAAAAUCUUGUAAAAUUAUUUGGAAAUCUAAAUGGGGAAAUUGAAUCUGAAUCCUUAAGGAUUUUGGUUAAGCAUCGUUGGUGAUGUAAAUAAUAAUUAUGCCCCUAUUUGUUUUGACAACAGAAAUAUCAAAAUCUCAGUGUAAAUUUAUGGGUGACAUUAGUUUGGAUAUACAUUUCAUUCACUCUAUUAAUUUUAUUCAACUAUAAAAUAAAUGGGUCUUAAUUCUUUUGCAAACUUGAUGAUAUCCAAUCUAAUAAUGAAUACUUUAGGUGGCAUUUGCUUUAGGUACAUACUUCUCUUCUUUGAAAAGGUAAGCUUCGGAUUCCUCAAUGAUCAUAUCUUUCAAAAUAGUAAACUCAUCACCGAUGUUACGAAUGGUGCCAACAAACUCCUUGGAUGUUUGGAAUCAUAGGCUAUGCGACCAUACUUAUUACCCUUUAUAUCAAUUUUAAAUUUUAUAUCAAUUUUAAAUUUUAAAUGUGGAGUAGUUUGUCAAACAUGUGAAACAACUUUUUUUUUCAUAUCUUCAUCUCUCUUAAAAAUUAUAAUUUUUUAUUUCUUCUUAUUAUUUGAUUUAGUUGUUGUCCCUUCUUAUCAUUUGGUUUUUUUUUUUAUAAAAAAAAUAUGAAUAUAAUAGUGAUAAAAACAAAAAAUACGGAUACACAGCACGUCAUUGGCGUAUGUAUUUCUGCUAGUAAUAAUAAAUAUAUCAAUAAUAAUGAAGAUAAGAAUAAUAAUAAUAAUAAUAAAAACUAAUUAUGAUAAUAAAUAUAAUAAUAAUAUUAAUAAUUUUCUUAUAAAUAAUAAUUUCUCACCUUUAUUUUCGUAUACAUAACACUUAAUUGAUUGUCGGAGAAUCUUUUGCAGAUUAAUUCUCAGUCGGCUAGGUAUUAGAGAGCGAAUACAAGAAGAGGAAGGAAGAAUGAAUGAACACCAAUGAGUGAAUAUGAGAAUGAAGGUGAAGGAGGAGCGACUGAGGGAUGAAAGACAAUUGUUCCAGUCACUUACACUUACUAUCUAAACCCUAUAACCCUAUACAAGUACAAAUAUGAUUUCACUAAUGACCUCUGGAACAUAAUCUGGGUCGGGGUGGUUAGUGUGAUAUGGAAUCACAGGAAUAACUUUAUUUUCAAGAGAGGGGUGGCAGAUGCGUCUGAAGUUUUUUCUUUGGUGCAAGUAAAUGUUUGGUCUUGGGUCUCUUUAAAUUUUAGGUCAGCUUUGUUUUCCUUUUCAGAUUGGUGUUUAGAACCUAUGUUGUGCAUGAGGAUAAUCUUUUGAGAGUGUUAGUUUUAGCAAGGGCAAUGUAAGUUUUAGUUAGUUUGGGAGACUUUAGGCAGGAAUCGGUAGUUGGACACCGUGUAUAAGGAUUGAACCAUCUCUGAAGUGGUUCUUAUUUAUUUAUUUUUUAUUGUCGAUAAAACAAAAACAAAAAAAAACUAAUGACCUCUCUGGUUUUUUUUUAAGUAAAUACAUCCUUUACUCUUUUCCACUUUUGAAAUUAUUUUCACAUAUAAUAUUUUCUGUAGUUAAAUGGAAAGUGCGACAAGAAAAUUGAUGUGCCAUACACUUCUAUUCAAGAAAAAGGUAACUUUAUGAGCUUAAUCUUCAAGAAAGGUAUUGCUUAAUUUUUUCACAGCUAGUUGAACCAUAUUUAAACUGCAUUAUAACAUUUUUUGGACAUAAUUCUUGUAUUUAGGCUUAUAAAAGUUUGGAACAUCCUUAACGUAUCAGUUUCAUUUAAAUAUCAGUUUUUCAUUGCCAUCAUCUUUAGUUUACUUAAGCAUGAUUACAAGAAGGAAUGAUGAUGUUGUUGAGUCUCCCUUUUUCAGGUAAGCAAGAAACUCCAACCUCUCUAAUCCUCAUCGUGGAGUUUACGUGUUUCAAUUCAGUGGCUUUUAAGGUUAUGUGUUAUCCCUCUUAUCUUCAAGUGCCACGCUCUCAACAACCAUUUAAAACAUCAAAACAUUUUAACUUAUAAGCCUGCUUUGUUUUUACUUUUAGAUAGUAUUAUCAAUUGCUUUACGUUGAAACAAUACCAAUAGUAAAGAACUUCCCACUCCAUAACACUAUAAAUAGGUGCAUCUCAAAGGAAAGUAAGCAUCCUCAAAUAAAAUCAUAUCUCUCUCUCUUGUGUUAAGAAAGAUGGCUUACAUCAAUGCUGCAUUUCGUUCAUCAAGAGACUAUGAAGUCUAUUUCUUCAUGAAGGAUAAGUAUGUGCGGGUGCAUUACACUCCAGGAUCAACAGAUGAUAAGAUUUUGACUAAUCUGCGUUUGAUUAGUAGUGGUUUUCCUUCACUUGAAGCAACGUUCUUUGCAGAACCUGGAAUGGAUAGUGCAUUCGUCACUGAAGGCAAUGAAGCAUAUGUGUUCUCAACCAAAUACUGUGCCUACAUAGACUAUGCUCCAGGUACAACAAAUGACAAGAUUCUCUCAGGUCCUACCACAAUUGCUAAGAUGUUUCCCGUCCUAAAAAACACAGUGUUUGAGAAUGGCAUAGACUCUGCAUUCAGAUCAACCAAAGGAAAAGAAGUUUACUUAUUCAAGGGCAAUCAGUAUGCUCGCAUAGACUAUGAUUCCAAGCAGCUUGUUGGCACCAUUCGUAACAUUGCUGAUGGGUUUCCUGUUUUGAAAGGUACGAUCUUUGAAAGUGGAAUUGAUGCGUGUUUUGCUUCCCAUGAAGAGUCUGAAGCUUACCUUUUCAAAGGAGAUGAGUAUGUGCGUAUGAAAUUCACCCCAGAUGCAUAUGAUGACGUUCUUCUGGGUGAUGUGAGGCCUAUCCUUGAUGGUUGGACAUGUCUUAGAGGCAUUUUGCCUGUCAGCUAAAGAAGGGUUCACCAUCAUCAUCAACCACCUUAGUCUCAUCACAAAACAUGGUCUCGUAAUAUGCUUCAAAUAAAGCUUUCAUUGCCAAAGUUUACUUCUGUCUCUUUAAUGUAACAUUAGGAUUGGAAGCCUCAUUCCUCUCCGAAUGUAACAAGUCUGAUGUUUGUGUUUCCUUUCCUGUCUUUGUUUCCUAUCUUCAUGUAAUUUGACACAAUAAUAAAUAAAAGUGGGUGGUUUGGUUUAAUACAAUUGAUUAUUAUAGAUUUAGUUUAAUCCAUAAAAAAAUAAUUUGUGACUUUAUAGAUAAUUGUUGUCAAAAUCUAAUUUUAGUAAAAGGCCUCUAUUUUUUUCAAAUACUACAAUUUAAGUAGAUUUUAGUAGAAUAUGACUACAUAAAAGCAUGACAGAAGGAAAAGAGAGUAAGAGAAGAUGAGAUAGUGAAUCUUUUGAGGUAAGAAUGAGAUUUUAGGAAGUGGAGAGCUUGAAAUUUGAAGGAAGCAAGGGCCUUAUAGAUGUUUAUUUAGCAUGUUGGAGGAUUAAGUAAUCAAAUCAAAAUGAAAACAGAUUAAGUACAAAAUAGAAAUAUUUAAGAAGCACACUUACAAUAACUGAAAUGUCAGAUAAAUCAUUAUUCUGGAUUAUGUUAAAGGACAUGCUACUGCAGAAGCUUAAAUGAUAAAGAAUGAAAUAUCUAAGGAGAAAAAUUCUGAGAGACACCAAAGAUAUAACACUAAACUUUGUUUGGUGAUGAGCAGCGAAUGAAGCCUUGAAAGUGGAUACAGAGAAAAUGAUGCAUAUAUUACCUAAAGUAUGCACAAGACACCAAAAAAUGAGCAUACAAAAGGGCUACAAUCAUAUUACACUUUUCAUUACUACACAUGAUCACACUCACCAUAAUCUCGCUAUAAUACUUAAUACUAUUGAUUUAAAAUUUAAUAAUUUUAAUAUUAAUCUAUCAAUGAUUUUUUAAAGGUAAUUGAGUUUGGUUAGUCUUUAUUUAUUGAUGAGGUAUUUUAAUAAAUUUGUACUAAAAUAAAUACUAUAAAUACUUUUUUUUAUCAGCAAUCAAGAAUAUAUAUAUACACAAGAACCACUUCAGGGGUGAAAAAAGAUAUAAGCAGCCUAACCGCUUAACACCUUUCAAACAUAUAAGAAACAAGCAACUCCUGACAUAACCUGACAGAAAUUUCCUCCGACAUCCCACUAAAGCAAAUACAGACAAACCAAAGGAGCGAGACACCAAUCAGAAAAAGAAAACUAGUUAAGGAAAACUUAGACGUGAGUCAAACCCAAACCUUCAACUGAACCAAAGAAAAGAUUUAAAAAAAAUUCAAAACUAUAAAUACUAUAAUAGACCUGUUAACUAAAUGUCUAGAAUGUGAGUAUGUUUUGAAAUCUUUCAUAUAUUUUUAGUACUAUGUUUAUUGUAUUAAUCAAAUUUAUCAUUGUUUGAAUAACAUGAAGAUUUUCAAAAUAAAUUUUGUUGAGUUAUGUAUGAUAUUGCAUCAAUGCUAAAUUUUGGAGAGUAUUAGAACACAACCACUAGAACAAAAUACAUACUUAUAAUUAGUGUUGACCAAAAGCCAACUUUAACAGUUAAAAAUAAUAAUAAUUUUUUUAUCUACAAUUAACAUAAUCGUUAAUUAGUUAAUAGUGUCAGAUUUGCGUUCCACAUUCAAUAGAUUCUAAAAUUAUAUACUUUAAUUCAUUAGAGUUAACUUUUGAAGACUGAUUCUGGAUAUUGUCGGUUAAAUUGACGUUUAUUCAAUACUAAUUUUUAAAUUAAUUUUAAAAUAAAACAAUUUAGUAUUGUUCAAACUAAUUCUAUUGCGUUUAUACAUAAAAAAAUAUUCAAUAUAACUUUAGUUAAGUCGACCAUAAAUGAAAUAUAUUUUAAUAUUAAUUUAAUUUGUAUUACUGUUGUCGAUACUAACGACAAUUUUUUUUUAAAUAUUACCAUAAUGUCUCCAUUUUUACUAAAAAUAAAUAAAAAAAAUAGACAAAAAUGUUACAGGGAGUAAGAAGAUGAGUGUGACGGAAACAAAUGAUUAUGGAUUAAAGAAAUAAAUGUUGAUUAAAGAGAUGAUUAGAGAAAAUUUAAAUAAAAUAAUAGGAAGAAAGAUUGUGAUUAAGAAUAUUUGUCAUAUUUAAAAUAUAAACGUUUGUGAAAUGUGGUUUUGUAUUGAAACAUCCAUCUCCUUCUUAAUUUAUUCUACUCUUUACCCGAUAUAUAUAUAUAUAUAUAUAUAUAUAUAUAUAUANNNNNNNNNNNNNNNNNNNNNNNNNNNNNNNNNNNNNNNNNNNNNNNNNNNNNNNNNNNNNNNNNNNNNNNNNNNNNNNNNNNNNNNNNNNNNNNNNNNNCUUACCUUACGUAUAUAUAUAUAUAUAUAUAUAUAUAUAUAUAUAUAUUUGGAUUAAAAAUAAUCUAUUAUUAUUGUCACAAAAAUUCAUACAUUCAUAACAUAAAUUAAUAUUGAAUAUAUUAAUUAAAUAUUGAAAAUAUAUUAUAUUAAUGUCGAUUUAAGUGAUUGAUAUUGAUCUAUUCGGUCUUAUUUUGCUUAUUGACACUUCUUAUUAUUAUUACCCUAAAAUCCUACAUAAUCCAUCAUAAAAUUUUCAUUAAUUAUUCCAUUUAUAAGUUAAUUAAUGGUUGAUUUUGUGAAUUUAAAAUUUAAUUAUGUUUUAUUUAUAGUUACAUUAUCUUUGGUAUAUUUAAAUUAUUAUUUUAGCAAAAUAAAGUUAAACUCUUGUGAAUGUUACUGACGAAGUUCAACUCCCCACGAUAAAUGAAAAGUACAAAACGUACAUGUCAAUAAUAAAAUUAUUAUGUUAUGUAAAUAAUAUUAAAAAAAUCAUUAAAUAAAAAUUAAUUUUAGAGAUUAAAAAUAAUUAAUUUAUAUAUUGAUAAAAUUAGACAUUAUUUUAGAGAUUAAAAAAGAUUGUAUCUAAAUUAAUUUAUAUUAUUAAUAAAUAAUUUUUAAAUUGAUACCAAAGUUUUAAUACCAAUUUUAAAAUUUAAAUAUUUGAUAACUAAAACUUAAGCAGCUAACUAGAUAUCAAUUUAGAAACUAUUUAUCAAUAAUCUAAACUAAUUUAAAUAUAAAUUAUUUUUUUAGUCUCUAAAAUAUAUAUAAUUUAGCUAUUACAGAAAUUAAUAGUUUUUUAUCUUUAAAAUUGAUUUUUUAUUUAAUAAUUUUGUAGUAGUGUAAUAUUAAAGUAAGUUUAUUUUUAUCAAUCUCUCUUCCAUAAUUUUAUAACCUUUCAAAGUUGUUCCAAAUGACUUUUAAACACUCAUAUAUAUAUAUAUAUAUAUUUCAAAUUAAGAUAUCCUAUGACAGUGCUAAACUUAUCGAGUUUUAUGUGACGAGGCAAACAGCACACGGUUUACAUAACAGAGUAAUAGAUUAAUGUAUUGAAGGUGCAUGCAGAAAUUAGAUAACAUUUGUUUACGUGUUCCAAUUUAGUGGUUUUUAAGGUUACGUGUUAUCCCUGAAACAGAGAGGACAUGCUGCACCGAUAACAGUGUAGAAUCCCAGCAAGUUCAUAACAUAACAUUUGUUUAUGUGAUGACAAACAGCACAUGCAGAAGUUACAUAACAUUUGUUUACGUGUUUCAAUUUAGUGGCUUUUAAGGUUACGUGUUAUCCCUCUUAUCUUCCAUAAUUUGUAACAAAAAAACAGAUGAUGCUAACAGAGAGGACAUGCAGCACCGAUAACACUUUGUUUUUACUUGUUAGAUCAUCUUUAUCAAUUGCUUUACGUUGAAACAAGGGUAAGAAGUUCCCACUCCAUAACACUAUAAAUAGGUGCCUCUCAUGGGAAUGUAUAAGCAUCCUCAAAUCAAAUCAUAUAUCUCAAUCUUGUGUUAAGAAAGAUGGCUUACAUCAAUGCUGCAUUUCGUUCAUCAAGAGAAUAUGAAGUGUACUUCUUCCUGAAGAAGAAUCACUAUGUGCGAGUGCACUACACUCCGGGAAAAACAGAUGAUAAGAUUUUGACUAAUCUGCGUUUGAUUAGUAGUGGUUUUCCAUCACUUGCAGGAGCACCAUUUGCGGAACAAGGAAUUGACUCUGCCUUCGACACUGAAGGCAAGGAAGCAUAUGUGUUCUCAACCAAACACUGUGCCUACAUAGACUAUGCUCCAGGUACAACAAAUGACAAGAUUCUCAAAGGUCCUACCACAAUUGCUGAAAUGUUUCCCGUCCUCAAAAACACAGUGUUUGAGAAUGGCAUAGAUUCUGCAUUCAGGUCAAUCAAAGGAAAAGAAGUUUACUUAUUCAAGGGCAAUAAGUAUACUCGCAUAGAUUAUGAUUCUAAGCAGCUUAUUGGCAACAUUCGUAACAUCACUGAUGGGUUUACUGUUCUGAAAGGUACGGUCUUUGAAAGUGGAAUUGAUGCAUGUUUUGCUUCUCAUGAAGAGUCUGAAGCUUACCUUUUCAAAGGAAAUCAAUAUGUGCGUAUCAAAUACACCCCAGGUAGUUCUAAUGACACUCUUCUGGGUGAUGUGAGGCCUAUCCUUGAUGGUUGGCCAUGUCUUAAAGACAUUUUGUCUGGCAACUAAAAAAGGUUCACUCUCAUGUUCACAAUCAUCAUCAACCACCUUAUCCUCGUCACAAAACAUGGUCUCAUAAUAUGCUACAAAUAAGGCUUCAUUGUCAAACUUUGCUUCUGUGUCUUUAAUGUAACAUUAGGAUUGGAAGCCUGAUUCCUUUCCUAAUGUAACAAGUCAGAUGUUUGUGUUUUCUUUUCCUGUACGUUUGUGUUUUUUCCUAUCUUCAUGUAAUAUGACACAAUAAUAAAUAAAAGUGGGUGGUUUGGUUUAAUACAAUUGUUUAUUAUAGAUUUAGUUUAAUCCAUAAAAAUAUUUUUUGUGACUUCUUAGAUAAUCGUUAUCAAAAUCUAAUUUUUAGUAAAGAUGCCUCUAAUCUUUCUCACAAAAGUCUCAAUAACCAUACAUAUGCAUAACUGCAUUAUCUUUUAAUGUUUAAAAAGUUAAAACAAACAAACUAGUUUUUGGAGAGGUAGAAAGAAUUUUUUUCAAAUACUACAAUUUAUGAAAGGUAAUUGUGAUUGAAUUGAAUCAAAACAUCGAUUAUCAAUGAUAAACUCUCUUUCCUAUAUAUAUCAUUCCAUCAACUAUAACCUUAUGAAUAAUAUUCUGUGAUUCAUUGGAGUUAUAGAGUCCAAUCCCACCCUUAUGUUCUUUGAUCCAUUUCUUGGAGGAUGAAAAUUUAAAAUGAUGUUUUUAAGUCCUUCAUAUUAUAAGUAUCAUAAAAAAGCCCAGGAGCAUAACUAGAAAUCUUAAAAAGUGUUAACUAAUAGGACCACACGAAAGGUGAAGAGAUUGAGAUAUAACUUAAGGAUUUCAUAUUUGUCUUUGGCUUUGGGGAAGAAAAUGAAAUGGCUUAUAGGGAUUGAGUUUCAAAGAAAAAUGACUUAAAAAUUUGAGUUUCAAACAUAACUAAGAAAUUGAAUAUUUUUCUUCUAAGAUGUGAGAAAUGAUGGAACCAACAGGGUGGUUUGUGACGAAACUGAUGUAUAAAGAAGGUAUGGAAUGAUUGAAGCAAUUGCUCAUCUCAUUACAGAGAGGAACCAGCAUGUCCUUGCUCUUUAAGUUUGACCAUUAUCUUGUCCAGCAAUUGCAGCUUUCCUGACAAUUCCAAUAAUUGGGAGAAGGAGAGUUUGGUUUUGUUUUCAAAGGAACGUUGGAUGAUUCCAGUGAAGAAGUUGCAAAGUUUUAGCCAAAAGAGAGAAAUAGUUCCAAACAGAAAUUCGAACAACAAGAAGAAUAGAUCAUUAUUCAAUCGAACGUGUGUCUUUGUUCUCUCUCUGUCUCUUUGUUAUUAGGAAAAAGUUAACAGAAAUGAUCAAUUUGGUACUUAUUAAAAAAUAUGUAUCAACUUUGAAGACUUGAUUCGAUGCUCAUCACCAAACAAAGUUUAGUGUUAUAUCUUUGGUGUCUCUAAGAAUUUUUCUCCUUAGAUAUUUCAUUCUUUAUCAUUUAAGCUUCUGCAGUAGCAUGUCCUUUAACAUAAUCCAGAAUAAUGAUUUAUCUGACAUUUCAGUUAUUGCAAGUGUGCUUCUUAAAUAUUUCUAUUUUGUACUUAAUCUGUUUUCAUUUUGAUUUGAUUACUUAAUCCUCCAACAUGCUAAAUAAACAUCUAUAAUGCCCUUGCUUCCUUCAAAUUUCAAGCUCUCCACUUCCUAAAUCUCAUUCUUACAUCAAAAGAUUCACUAUCUGAUCUUCUCUUACUCUGUUUUCCUUCAGUCAUGGUUUUAUGUAGUCAUAUUCUACUAAAAUCUACUUAAAUUGCAGUAUUUGAAAAAAUUCUUUCUACCUCUCCAAAAACUAUUUAAUUUGUUUUAACUUUUUAAACAUUAAAAGAUAAUGCAGUUAUAAAAUAUGUAUGGUUAUUGAGACUUUUGCAAGAAAAAAUAGAGGCAUCUUUACUAAAAUUAGAUUUUGAUAACAAUUAUCUAUAAAGUCACAAAUUAUUUUUUUAUGGAUUAAAUUAAAUCUAUAAUAAUCAAUUGUAUUAAACCAAACCACCAACUUUUAUUUAUUAUUGUGUCAAAUUACAUGAAGAUAGGAAAGAAAGAUAGAAAAGGAAACACAAAUAUCAGACUUGUUACAUCAGGAAAGGAAUCAGGCUUCCAAUCCUAAUGUUACAUUAAAGAGACAGAAGCAAACUUUGGCAAUGGAAGCCUUAUUCGUAACAUAUUAUGAGACCAUGUUUUGUGAUGAAACUAAGGUGGUUGAUGAUGAUGGUGAACAUGAGAGUGAAGCCUUCUUUAGUUGACAGGCAAAAUUCCUCUAAGACAAGGCCAACCAUCAAGGAUAGGCUUAAUAUAACCCAGAAUAACGUCUUCAGUUGCAUGUGGGGUGAAUUUGAUACGCACAUACUCCUCUCCUUUGAAAAGGUAAGCUUCAGACUCGUCAUGGGAAGCAAAAGACGCAUCAAUUCCACUUUCAAAGAUAGUACCUUUCAAAACAGGAAACCCAUCAGCGAUGUUACGAAUGUUGCCAAGAAGCUCUUUGGAAUCGUAAUCUAUGCGAGUAUACUUAUUGCCUUUGAAUAAGUAAACUUCUUUUCCUUUGGUUGACCUGAAUGCAGAGUCUAUGCCAUUCUCAAACACUGUGCUUUUGAGGACAGGAAACAUUUCAGCAAUUGUGGUAGGACCUAAGAGAAUCUUGUCAUUUGUUGUAGCUGGAGCAUAGUCUAUGUAAGCACAGUAUUUGUUUGAGAACACAUAUGCUUCACUUGCUUCAGUGUCAAAGGAACAGUCAAUUCCAGGUUCUGCAAAGACUGUUGCUGCAAGUGAUGGAAAACCACUACUAAUCAAACGCAGAUUAGUCAAAAUCUCAUCAUCUGUUCUUCCGGGAAUGUACUGCACCCGCACAUACUUAUUCUUUAUGAAGAAAUAGACUUCAUAUUCUCUUGAUGAACGGAAUGCAGCAUUGAUGUAAGCCAUCUUUCUUAACACAAGAGAGAGAUAUAUGAUUUGAUUUGAGGAUGCUUACAUUCCUAUGAAAGACACCUAUUUAUAGUAUUUUUUCCUGUUUGUUUUGGAAAUCCCUUGAAGUAAAGCAUGUAAGAAGUAUGAUCUAACAAACCUUCCUUUAUAGAUGCAACAUGUCCUUUCUGUUGGCAUCAUCUGUUUUUUUUUUUAUUACAUAUUAUUCUAAUAUUAAAUGGAAAACUUGUUUAUUAUUUGCAUUGGAAACUACCAUUAACAUUACAAUUAAUUUUUUUAUAAAAAUAACCUUUUCAAAAUAGAUUUUAAAUUGUCUUUUCGAUUUAUUUAAUGUAAGAAAUAUUGGAAAAUAAGAUUUGAAUAGAGUAGUAACACAAAAAUUAUAUGUCUUAUAUAUAUAAAAAUAAUUAUAUUCAAGUAUAAUUUCUAUAAAAAAAAUUAUAUGUCUUACAUAAUUAAAAAAUUGUGUAAACCAAAUAAAAAUUUCUAUUAUAUAUUAUUAUAGGUAACACAAAUAAACCUUGUGCUGUAUGUGAUUCGAUACACUCAAUAAUGGUCACGAAACGUUGUUUUGAUAAUAAGGUUAAAUAUGUUUUUAUUACAUAAAUGUGUGUUUUAAUUUUAUUUUAUAAUUUGUUUUAUUCUUUUAAAAUCACCAACGUUGUUUUUAUUUUAUUCUUAGUAUUAUGUGAAACAUAUAAUUUUUUUUUUCCAAUCCUUUUUAAAUUAAAAAUAUUACUUUUAAUCUUAGCAUUUUAUGACAUCCCACUAAUAAUUAAUGGGCUAAAUUAAAAGCCAAGUGAUAACAAUUUGAAGUAAAAUACCUAUUACGAAGUAAAUACCUUAUAAUAGAAUGUCAAUAAAAUAUACGUUUGAAUAAAUAAAUAAAUAAAUAAUGUACAUUUUACAGAUCUUAAAUAUUUUUAACAAAACUUUUUAAAAGUUAACAGAAUAAAUUCAGCACAAAAAAUAAGUUAAAUAAAUGAAUAAAAAUAGAAUUUAAUAUGUAUAAAAAUGGUUUAAAUAUAUGCUUUAGUUUUUUUUUUUAAGUUUCUUCUCGGUCUUCAACAUAUAUAGUGUCUUAGAAAAGUUGUAGGAAGGGGAGAUUUCAUAAGUUUUGCGCUAGUGCAAAGACACUCUUAAAGAACAUUUAUAGACAAUGGUGACAAUUUUAAAAAUACAUUCAACAACCUAAAAGUCCCAAAUUGCUGAAACCUCACUCACUCAAAUUACGGUGCAUUUCCGUCUCCUUCAUGCAUUUAUGUUAUUAUCAUGGUUGUCAGCGAUAUCGCUUCUGUUCAAGAUCGUGUUUAGAGAUAUCAUUACUAUUUAUAAUAGCCGUUGUCUUCGUGUUCGCCUCUUGCAGUCGUUGUUCCUACUUGUCGUCGUUGCAUCCCCUGCUAUUCUGCUCGUCGUCAUCAACCGAGCUCAGAUCACUACCAUCUACCACCGUUCACCUUCAACGACACCACUGUAACGGCAUGCAUCUUCAUGGACCUUUGACGCAGCUUCACUAAGGACGAUUUUAAGGUGCUGGUUUUGAGGAAAUUUCUCAUAGAAUAGGUUUUAAGUAGAAAAGAAAAGAGAUUAGGGUUUAAGCAGAAAAGGAAAGUGGGAGCGUCUGCCCCACUAAACCUUUAAGUGUUGUGUUAUCUGAUAGUUUUUUACUACAAUAAUCUCUAUGUUGGCCAAACCUACUUGGAUCAUUAAAAGUGUUGGUCAAUCUUGCAUUUCUCCAACCAACCUAUGAUAUUUCAAAAAUAUUUUAUUACAAUGCGUCCAACGCAACAAAUAUAUUUCAUUUUUUUUUCUUUUCUUCGACUUUGUGCCUAUUGGAGGGGAGUUUAAUUUUUUAAAUCUCUUUUUUGGGUUUGACUGACAAUAAUAGCUUCCAUUUUUAGGUCAGCGCAAAAUUGUGAAGUUAAUUUGUAUUUUUCUUGUAGUGUCAUACUUUGAAGAAAAUGUGAGAUUUUACGUGCAUUUAAUCACCACAUAAUGUUCAUGAUGAUUACAAACUUUUAGAUAUGGAUCGAAAUUGAACUAAUUCACCACACAUAAAUAAUGAAUAUGAGAGAGGAUUAAAAGAAUUUAUACAAUUUAUGCAACGUAAUGUUAAUAAUAUACUGAUGAAGUAAAGUUUAAGUGUCGAUACGUUAAUCGUUUGAAUCUAACUAGACUCUAACUAUGAAUCAACCUAUCUAUAAAAACAUAAUUCCAUUUCUGACAUAAAACUUUAAAGCCAUGAAUGUGGACCUCCUCACUCUACACUUAUUCCUCUAAAUCUCUCAUUUUAAUACAAUAUGAUAUAUACAUGUCAAGUAUGAUUUCAGUUAACAAUAUUUUACAAAUACUAUUUUUCUCAUGUACGAUUUAAACAUAAUUAUUAAUUAAAAUCGUAUGCGUCGUCGGUUUAGCUGGUACUCGUAUCUUGCAUGUACGAUUUUUUUAAAUUUCAAAAACUGUGAACAUGGAUAACCAUAUUUUUAGAAUUAUGUCGUACUCGAUAAACACGAUUUACUCAACUCUGAAAAAAAAAUUGUCCAUUUCAAAAAAUAUGAAAUCAAAUUACAUAAUUUUAGGAAAUAAGCCUAUUUUUUUUCUUCUUUAUAUCAUUUACUUGCCUUACGUAUCAUAGCCUUUAAAAAAAUACACGGGAAUCAAAUCAACCUAUAAACAUCUCUGUAAAUUUUUCAAAGAAAAAAAAAUUAGAAUCAUUUAUUCAACCAAAAAGCACACUUUUAUUAUUAAACCAUUAGCAUUACAUGAAGAAAGGAAAACAAAUAUCCACAUACACGAGAGUAAACACAAACAUCCACACUUAUUACAUUAGGAAAGAAAAGGAAACAAACUUUGGCAAUGGAAGCCUUAUUUUUAUCAUAUUAUGGCAUCUUGUUCUUUUUUUUUCAAAGCUCAUCAUGUUGUUCAGGGUAGGAUGGUUCAUGAUGAGUGUGAGGAUGAGAAUCAACUCCUUUAUUGUCGAGAGGCAGAAUGCCUCUAAGAAUUGGCCAACCAUUAAGGAUGAGCUUCACAACAUCCACAAGAGUGUCACCUGUAGUACCUGGGGUGAAAUUGAUCCGUACAUAGUUUUCUCCCUUGUAAAGAUAAGCUUGGUUCUCCUUAUGAGAAGCGAAACACGCAUCAAUUCCAUUUUCAAAGAUGGUACCUUUCAAAAUUGGAAAUCCAUCCGUGAUAUUACGAAUGGUGCCAAUAAGUUGCUUGGAAUCAUAGGCUAUGCGACCAUACUUAUUGCCCUUGAAUAAGUAAACUUCUUUUCCUCUGGUUGACCUGAAUGCAGAGUCUAUGCCAUUUUCAAACACCGUGUUUUUCAGGACGGAAAACAUUUUAGCAAUUGUGGUAGGACCUGAGAGAAUCUUGUCAUUCAUUGUACCUGGAGCAUAGUCUAUGUAGGCACAAAGUUUGGUACAAAAAAUAUAUGCUUCGUUGCCUUCAGUGUUGAAGGCACAAUCUAUUCCAUAUUCUCCAAAUGGCGUAUCCUCAAGUGAUGGAUAACCAUCACAAAUCCAACGCAAAUCAGUUAAAAUCUUAUCAUCUGUUUUUUCGGGAGUGUAAUACACCCGCACAUACUUAUUUUUUAAGAAAAAAUAAACUUCAUAUGCUCUCGAUGAACGAAAUGUAGAAUUUAUAUAACUUGGUAUCUCUAGAACUGAACUAGUAUACCACUCAAGAGCAACAUCCCGUCAGCAUUCAAGGCCUCUCUUUUCUCUCUCCUAGGCGGAUAAGUUUCUUCGGGUAGGUCUCUUCUUACACCAUUAUCAUCUGUGUAGUAGUACACCGGAAUAUAAAUUGUUAGUGCAAAGUAAGGAUGUGAGAUUGGAUUAAAAUUCCUGUUUAUUAUCAAUCUUGUUUCUCUAUGUUAUACGUGGAUACCUGCAUCAUAAUAUAAUAGUUUAUAGUUAGUAAUUGAUGAUAUGAGGGGAUUAUAAAAAUAAUAUAGCAUGAGAUGUAAUCCAACCUUGAUCCGACUUCACGUGUUGCUGUGAAUAUGAGACAAGAUCGAAUGUACUGAGGUGCAAUGCCUCCAACAUAGCAAACUUCAUCUUGAGAAAUGUAUGUGUAUCGAUUCCAAAGGGUCAUACCAACCCAAAUACCACCAGGAGCAUAAAUUUCAUAACGAUAAAAUUGAAUCCGAGAACCUUCUGGGAGGACUCGGGGGGAAGGAUUUGGUCGCCAAGCAUUGUUGAGAGUGGUACUCACAAAGACAUGUCUUGAAGUUGAAGGUCGAGCUGGAUCAAGAGGAGCACCUGCCUGUUCAAUGAAGUUAAGCAAAUUAUAAUAAGUGGAGUUGGGAAUUUGACCCUGAGACCAUGCUUGGAAGCCAUUUGCAAAGAUCUCCUGGUAGGGCCUUGUGUCCCAAUGAUGCACAGGCGCACGGAUAUCAUAAUUUUCGUCGGCCGUUCUGUAUGUAAUUUCUGUCAAGUUUCCUUCCACAACAUUCACACGGUUGAUAUUAUCCAUCAAAUUUCGACCUCUAUCAAAAUCUCCUUCUCCCAGAGGCUGUGGAAAUUUUGAUGAACAACCUCUGGAUGGAUCAUUUGGUGGAGGGAUAGACAUUUUCUUAACAAAGCUUAGAAAAGGAUGGAUAAGGUAUAGAUAGAUAGAGAUAUAUGAGUUGAUUUGAUGGUUAGAUUCCUAAGAGAUGCACCUAUUUAUAGUAUUAUGGAGUGGGAAGUUCUUACCUUUGUUUCAACGUAAAGCAAUUGAUAAAUGUGAUCUAACAAGUAAAACCUAACCAGCCUUACAUAUUAUUCUAAUACUAAUGGCAAAGGUUUUAAAAUGUUUUGAUGUUUUAAAUGGUUGUUGAGAGUGUGGCACUUGAGGAUAAGAACGGUUUGUCAUCACAUAAACAAAUGUUAUGAGCUUGCUGGGUUCCAAUAUUAUGUCAGUUCCAAUACAUUAAUACAGAGAUUACUGUGUUAUUUAAACCGUCUGCUGAUGAAGAAAUCACAGAAAUACAUUAAUAUUAUCUCAUUUAGUAUAAAUGUAUUUUUAUUCUUUUCAAAUUUAAUAUUAAACCAACUCAAACACUUUAUAUAGUAAAAGAAAUAAAAUUUAAAAUAAAUUUAUGUAUUACUCGUUAAAAAAAUUAAAAUUCAUGUUGUUUUAUAAUCUAUUAGCAUCCCAUAUUGAGUCACACUUUAAUUUGGAAACUACUUUUUCAUUUUCAUGUAAUAUCAAUAAGUUGCUACAUUCACAAUAUCAUAACAUAUUUUAGUUUGUAAUAUAUAUAUAUAUAUAUAUAUAUAUAUAUAUAUAUAUAUAUAUAUAAUAAUANNNNNNNNNNNNNNNNNNNNNNNNNNNNNNNNNNNNNNNNNNNNNNNNNNNNNNNNNNNNNNNNNNNNNNNNNNNNNNNNNNNNNNNNNNNNNNNNNNNNCGUGUCGUCGUCGUCGAGUCUACAGUAGUUAGUAUAUAUAUAUAUAUAUAUAUAUAUAUAUAUAUAUAUUCUAUAUUAUAAUAUAAAAAUUUAGAUAAAGAAUAUUAAUACUUUUAUUUCAAGUUCAAAGUUUAAAUAAUUUUAAAUCAAAACAUUGGAGUUGAAUUCAUUGUUCAUAUUGUAUAAGUUCUAAUUAGUUUUCUGAAUUUUAACUAAUAUAUAUUAUCUAAUUUUUAGAGUUGGUAUAUUUUUCAAUUGAUUUUAACUAUCAGAAGUAGAUAUCAUCAUAGUUUUAUUUUUUUCUUACUAAAUUUUUUCACAGUUUUAUUGUAUAUAUUUGCUAAUCAUUAAUAGGUCUUCUAGAUAAAUUACAUUACUCUUAUUAGACAACAUCAGUUGUUCUUGUAAUCAUUGUAAUCAUGCUUGAAGGAAACUAAAGAGGAUGGCAAUGUAAGGUUAUAAGCAGGAUGAUAGAGAAGUUACUCUUUUUUUUUUUAUCUUAAACUGAUACGUUAAGGAUGUUCGAACACUUUUAUAAGCCUAAAUACAAGAAUUGUGUCAAAAAAAAAUCUUUUAAUGCAGUUUAAAUAUGGCUCAACUAGCUGUAAAAAAUUAAGCAAUACAUUUCUUCAAGAUUAAGCUCAUAAAGUUACCUAUUGCUCGAAAAACUAUUUUUUUUAUCUGCAAUAAAAUAAAUAAUAAAUAGAUAUGUAUCACUUUAAAGAUGAGUCAACCCUUAUACAAAAUAAAUAAAAGAUAAUAAACUCUUAUUUCUUAACUUAAACCAAUCUUUCAACAAAAACUGUCAACUAAUCCAAAAUCCAAUAAUAUCGUCUAGUCAUUUUUAACAAUCGUCAGAAUAUACAAACACAUUGUUUGAAGGACAUAAUUUGGAUUGAGAAUAAAAAGGUUGAGAAGUGAUCAUUUGGUGUGAAAGGAUAAAAAAUAUAAAGAUCCCCUCAUUCUAUUUGUUAGAGAAAUAUUGGAUUUGAGUUUUAAGCUUAGCAUUUCUUUGCUUUAAACCUAUAAUUCAUAUAUAUGUAUAUACUAUUUUUUUUUUUUUACAAAAUAUUAUGUGUAAAAUUAAAAAAAAAAUUAAAAAUGGAGAUUAGCUCUCUAACACAUAAAUGGAGAAUUUGUUUAGAUAGUAGGGUAAAUUCGCAUGGCAAUAAAAAAAAACCUCAAAACACUCUUCUACGAACCAUGGUUAUAUAUAAUUUAAUCAAUAUAGUUUCUAAUUAUUAUUUUUUUCUCUAAAUCCAAUCACUAAUGAUUUUUUUUAAGUAAUUAUCUAAUUAAUCGAUAUUAAGAUGAGAUGAUACAAAUAUUUUUAAGAAAAUAAAGAAGUUGUCAUCAUACUUAAAGAAAAUUAUGAAAAUAAAAUAUAAAAAAAAUACACUAUCUUUAAAAUUAAAUUUGGGUCCUAAUAAAAUAAGUUAUUCAUACAAAGUAUAUUAGCGUCAUAAAAUUUGUCCUAAAACAAUUAUCUUUAACUAGAUUUAGAAAAUUAAAUUAUUUUUAAAAUGUUUAUUUUUACCUAAAAAAAACAAAAACAAAGUAUUUAUUUAUUAUUUACACCAGAGAAAUAUUAUCAAUUACUUACAGAAUUAUAGUGUCGAUUGCAUAACCAACACAAAUGUCACUUAAGUCUAUUUUAACUUUAAACUAGAAUAAAAUUAUUUAAUAUCACUAAAGUUAAUCAAUUAAGUUGAAAUGUAUUAUUUAAUUUUAAAAUUUAAUAAAAGUUAGUGUGAAUUAAGUUGAUGUUAGUCUAACUUAUUUUUAACACUUAUUUAAGUAGUGCUGUUUAGGUCAACACUAAUGUAGUUUAUUUUAAUGCUUAUUAGAACUAGUUGGCCUAGUCAAUUCUAAUUUCAUUUUAUUUUAAUACUUAUAUUUUUAUAAUCAGUUCUGGAUUAGUUGACACUAAACUAAUUUAUUUUUAAUAUUUAUUUAACUAUGUCAAUACUAAUAUAAUCUAUUUUUAAUAGUUAUUAAAUUUAGUAUUAGUCUAGUCAAUAUACUACCAUAAGUUAAUUCCACGUUAAUAUUAUUUAUUGUUAAUAUUUAUUUAUUGUUAAUUUAAAACAAGUUUAGGUGAAUAUCUGCACAUGUAAAGAACCUCAAACAGGCUGCAUAUAAACAACCUCAAACAUUAAAUAUUAUUGAGACUCUACACAAAAUACUUUUAUAAUUAAUACUAAGUGGUUCCUGAUGUGGAUGAAAGUCAACUUUUCAUUAACUAACACACAAAAUGCCUUUAACAACUUUUAGAAAGUUUAUUACUAAACAAUUAUUAAAUAAAAAUUAAUUUUUAGAAAAUAAUAACUAAUUUUUUAUUAAUUAAAUUAGAAACUAUUCAAAACACUAAAAAUUUAUUUAUAUAUUUUUAAAUUUAUAAACUAGUUUAUAAAUUGGUAUCUAAUUAGCUAUUAAAGUUUUAUUUAUCAAUUAUUUUAGAUACUAAUUUAGAAACUAAUUUACAUAUCAAUAAUUUUUUAAUAUUUAAAAUAGUUUAUAAUUUAGUUAAUAUAGUAACUAGUUAUUUUUUGUCUUAAAAUUAAUUUUUAUGAUUUUUUUUUAUGAUAUCAAUACUUAUUUUAGUCUAUUUUUUUUUUAAAUUGAUCUCUAUUUAAGGAUAUUCUUUUCUAAUAGUGUAGAAAAUAAUAAAAUUUCCAAACUUAAUAUUUUUCCCGUAAAAGAAGAUUGAGUGCUUUGAAUGUUAUUUUUUAUCAACAAAAAAGAAUAAAUAAAUAUGACUCACUUAAGAGUAGAUGAUUCAACCCUUAUACAGAUAAAGACUAACACUCCUCUCUCCAACCAUAAGAAACCCCUCACUACCAACAUUAAUAGAAUAAAAAUUCUGUCAUGUCCAGCUGUCACUAAAGCUAACUCCCCACUAAACACCUCACACCGUCCUUUUAAUCGAAAUCAUAUAUACUUUUGGUUUUAAGCAUCAAUCUAUGAAGGAAAAACUCGUUAAAGACGUCUUUGAAGAGAUUCAAGACUAAAUCUUUAAGCAAAUAAUUACUUUUAUGUUUCCAAAUCACCGCUAAAACAGCGAAAGGUUAUUUGUUGAAUGAAUUUUUUUUUAUCAACAAAAAAUUAAAUUAAAUUAACAGAAACACUUUAGAAGUGUCACACUCCUUUAACCAACACAAACAAAGAUAAGCAGCUCAAGUAAUUGAAUUGCACCUUGCUGCAGAAUUAUGCAGCAUAACUGCAAAAGAUGAGCACCUGAACUGCAUAAAACUGCAGCAAUUCUGCACCUCCCUUUCUUAUAUGUGCCUUUGAUCAAAGGAGCUACAUGAUUACCUAUAUACCUUACACAAUCCAGCUAAAGAUGCUGCAUAAAAAACAGCUCCUCACACCUUGGCCAUUUGUUGAAUGUAAUGCAAGAAAAGGAAGGAAAAAGUUGAGAAUCUGGAAUCGGAAUGCAGACUGUGCAGUUCUAAUGCAAAGUCUUGCUCCUCUGCGGCAGCAGAAAUUUUGUUCCAAUGGUUUCCUUAUUGGACCUCGAUCAACAUUUGAAUCUAGGACAAAACUAUGCAGAAUCAGGUGCAACAGACAAGAUAAGGCUGUACAGUUGUAGGAACAAGGUUAAUAGGUAAUUUUGGAAUAAGCAGGAUAAGGCUUUCUUUUGCUAUAUGUUCUCUUAGUCUUGGUCUUAACCAAUUUGGUAGCUGUUUUUUAUUUCUGGAAUAGUUUGAUACCUUUGAAGUGUCUUUUUAAUUCAUUUAUUCUUUGUUGAAAAAAAGAUUCCUCCAAUCCAGAUAUUACCCAUUAUAAGAUUAACAAACAUAGGCACAUCAAUAAAAAUGAACUGCAAGAAAUGUAAGACAGGCAUAAGAUGAUUUACCGAUCUCACUCUUAAUCACUUGUAGCAAAGAUUCCAAACUAGCUAGCUAGGAUACCCUGUACCGAAAAAACAAAUGACUAGUCAGACUCCUCUGAAAUCUCCACACAAACAACAAAGGUUGCUCUCGAUAAAAAAAUCAUGUCUCUCCAAGUUACCCUAGUAGCUUAAAGAUUAACAUUACAAGAUGUUUUAAAUUUUUUGAACACAGUACUAUUCAUAAAACAUGAAUGAAUGAUCACAUUAAUCCCUAAAAAGAAGAGUGGUUGAAAGGAGGUGAUGUAUGUAUAAUUUGGGGAAGCUAAUAUUGAUGUAAUUUAUUUAUUUAUUUAACUAAGUUUAGAAAAAAAAAACAAUUAGUGAAGUUUAAUAGGUUAUUUCAAGUUUAAAUUCUGAAUAGGAAUUUGUGUUACAUAUUUAGAAAGAGAGUUUAUGAUUCAUAUUGAUUUUAUUCAAUUCAAUCACAAUUAUCUUUCAUAAAUUACGGGUCUAGGGAAUAAAGUCAAGCAUUUUGUUAGUUGCUGGUUAAGUUUUUAUGCAGGUUGUGCUCAAGAACCCUAGACCACCAUAUUUACAGGACUGCUAUGUGCUUUUGAUUUUUUUCGGUCGUCUUGCUGUUUUAUUCAAUUUUGAUGUUUGUAAUACUCAUCUAAUUUUGUAAUUUAGAUGGUGAAGUUUUUUUUAUUUGUAUAAUAAGAGUUAAAAAACUUUUAAAAUGUUUAUUUUUAAUUCAUUGAUUAAUUAUUUGUUGAUAAUAAAAAUCUUUCAUAAAUUGUGGUUUUGAGAAACAUAAUUGUACAUCACAAAAACCCUAGUUUAUUUAUUUGAACAUUUUUUUUAUCAGCAAUAAAAAAUAAAUAAAUGGGAACCACUUCAGGGGUGGUCCAACCCUUAUACAUAAAUAGCUAUCGCCUUACCAACCUCCAACUAAGGAACACCUUCCAACUAAAUAAGGAACAACCAAAGCAACUCAAGAAAGCAUUAAACAACCAGCCUCAUACAAUCCACUGGGUACAAAACCCAGUUGGAAUACGUAAAGGAAUUACAACAUAACUUUGCAAAAAUCCAAGACCAAACAUUUACCUGAACUAGUGCAAAUACCUCGAGCGCAUCUACCACGCCCCUGUCGAAGGUCACCGAGUUCCUAUGUCUCCAAAUUCCACUCACAACACCAACCCAAAUCGCCCCCCAAACGUCAUUAACCACAUCAGAAGCCGAACACAACCUGAAUUGUUGGAAGUUUACCAAAGGGUCCUUGUGAAAAACAAACGACACUCCAAGCCACUCAAAACAAAGACACCACACCCGCCAGGUAAACUCGCAGACAAAAAACAUUUUAAACAUCAAAAGUCACAGUAUAUGAUUAUUGAGUCUUCCCGAGUUGUAACAAAUAUUAGACGCAUUUAUACUAAAAUUAAGUCGUAAAAAUAAUAUUUAUGGAAUUAGUAGAGUAAAUAUGAUUGUACUAAACCAAACCAGAACAGUUUUAUUUAUUAUUAAGAUUACGAACAUAGGAGAGAAAAAGAUUGACUUGAAGGAAAGGAAACAGAAACAUGCAGAGUUGUUACAUUAGGAAAUGAAAGAAGCAUCGAAUCUUAAUGUUACAUUAAAGAGAAAGAAACGAACUUUGACAAUAGCAGCCUUAUUUGUAGCAUUUAUGAGAUGAGAGUGAAGCCUUCUUUAGCUGACAGGAAGAAUGCCUCUAAGACAUGUCCAAGCAUCAAGGAUAGGCCUCACUCCACCUAAAAGAGUGUCAUUACUUGAACCUGGAGUGAAUUUGAUCCACACAUACUUAUCUCCUUUGAAAAGAUAAGCUUCAGAAUUCUCAUGGCAAGCAAAACACGCAUCAAUUCCACUUUCGAAGAUCGUACCUUUCAGAAUAGUAAACCCAUCAGCGAUGUUACGAAUGCUGCCAAUAAGCUGUUUGGAAUCAUAGUCUAUGCGAGUAUACUUAUUGCCCUUGAACAAGUAAACCUCUUUUCCUCUGGUUGACCUGAAUGCAGAGUCUAUGCCAUUCUCAAACACUGUGUUUUUGAGAACGGGAAACAUCUUAGCAAUUGUGGUAGGACCUGAGAGAAUCUUGUCAUUUGAUGAACCUGGAGCAUAGUCUAUGUAGGCACAGUAUUUGGUUGAGAACACAUAUGCUUCACUCGCUUCAGUGUCAAAGGCACAGUCAAUUCCAGGUUCUGCAAAGAACGUUGCUUCAAGUGCUGGAAAAUUAGUACUAAUCAAGCAUAGAUUAGUCAAAAUCGUAUCAUUUGAACUUCCUGGAGUGUAAUGCAGUCGCACAUACUUAUUCUUCAUGAAGAAAUACACUUCAUUUUUUCUUGAUGAACGAAUUGCAGCAUUGAUGUAAGCCAUUUUUCUUCACACAAGAAAUAGAAAUAGAGGAUAUAAGAGAGAGAUAUGAGUUGAUUUGAGGAUGGUUAGAUUCAUAUUAGAGACACCUAUUUAUAGUGUUAUGAGAAACUACCAUGAAUAGACUGAUUUCUGAAUGUGCCAUUUUGUGAUCACAUAAACAAAUGUUUAUGAGCUUGGUGGGGUUCUACACUAAUAAAUGCUAUAGGUUUUAUCUGUAACCGUCCCACAUGAAAAAGUCUAUGUAUAUGGGUUGGUCUAUUCUUAAAUAAAUCAUAUAUUUAUAUUUAUUAUUAUUUUUUGAUAAAAAAAAACUUAUUUCUAAUUAAUUAAUAGAUUAUUGUGUUAUUUAAACCCUGUGCUGUUUACCUCAUCACAUAAACUCAACAAGUUUUUCAUAUCAUAGGAUAUUUUAAUUUACAAUAUAUAAAUAUAUGUUAAUUUAAAAGAUGAGUGUUUAAAUAGGUUUGAUAGGUUAUAAAAUUAUAGAAGAGAUUGGUACACGUAAACUCAAUAAACAACUCAACUAUGUGCUCAUUCAAUAUGAUAUGUUAAUCAGUAACGUGUAAUAAUUUAUGCAAGAUAAUAUUAUAUAUAAAACUAUUCAAAGAAAUAAUCUAAUUAAUAUGUGUUUUUAGGAGACAAAGUGUAUAUUUUCCCGUGCUGUGCGUUUACAUUAGUUAUUAUUUUUAAUUUAUUAUUAUUAUUAAAAAAAUAAAUUAAAUAAAAAUAAAUUUUAGAGAUUAAAAUAAUUAAUUAAUAUUUUCACUAAUAUAGUAAUUUUCUAAUUGGCAUGUGCAUCUUUUAUAAAUUAUGCAUAAGAACAUUUUGUAUCCUAUAGCAUAUUUGCAUAAAUGUCUUCAAAGUAUUUACGAUAUUUGCAUAAUUAAUAUUUACGAUAUUAAUUAAUAUUUUGGUAGUUAAAAACAACUAGAAUAAAGUAUAGAUAAAAAAUUAAAACUACGAUGACAAUGGGUUGUAUGGGUAGUUGACAACUAUCUGUUUACAAAUAAAUACAAUUAUUACAAUCAAGAUAUUUUUUAAUUGUUUUAUAUAUUUAUUAUAAAAAAAAUUAUUAAAUAAAAACUAAAUUUAAAUACCAAAAUAAUUAAUUAAAUUAAAAACUAUUUUAUAAAUUAAAAAUUAUUUUAUAAAAUUAAAAAUUUAUUGAUAUUCAAAAUAAUUUCACUAUUAAUCAAAACUUAUAAAGUAGUUUAUAAGUUAGUAUAUAACCAUUAACUACCAAAAUUUUAACUACUAAAUAUUUUAUAUUCUAAAUUAGUCUCUAUUAAUACUUUAGAGAUUAAUUUAGAAUCUAAAAUAUUAAUAGUUAAAACAUGAGAACUAAUUUAGAUAUUAAUUUAAAAAUUAUUUUAUAUAUUUUUAUUAAUAAUAUAAAUCAUUUUGGAUAUUAAUAUUUUUUACUCUCUAAAUUUAAUUGUUAUUUAAUGAUUUUUUUAGUAAUUUAAUAACAAUUUUUUUUUUUACAAAAAAUUAUCAGAAAAUAUCAAUAACUCUCUAAAUAAUAGCAUAAAAAUGUAACAUUAUUAAAAUCGACCAAAUAAACUUUAACACGAACUAAAAGAUUAACUUUUUUUAAUAAAUGUAAAAUUAUUUUUAAAUAGUUUUAUAUUAUGUAAAGUGUGUAUCGGAUAAGUUGGUGCUUAGAGCCAACUUAACUAAUAAUGAGUUGACAUUAAUUUUUUAAAAACAAGUAAAAAUAUUUGUAUUUGUAUCAAAUUAACAUAGUAAACUAACUAACGUUGACUUGAAUUAAUAUUAAAACUAUCAAACACUAAAUUAAAUAAUUUAUAAAAUAAAAAAUAAGUCAAUUUAGUUGAAAAUAAUUGUUUUAAUUAAAAAUUAAUUAAAAAAUUAGUGUUAGUGUUUUCUUAACAUAUACUAUUUAAAGUAGUAAAAGUUGACACUAUUGAACUAACAUCGAUAUUUUAGAGUGGGUUACAUAUUCAAUACAAAUUUGAUACUAUUAACUAAUUAACCUUAACUUUUAGUUAUUAGAAUUGAUUUUUACAUAAGUUAAAUUUAUAUUUUCUUGUAGUUAUUUGGGUUAUAUACAUUAUUAUUUUUAUUGAAAUCAACUCUAUGUUUUGGGGUUUGAACUUUCACAAGAAUUAUAUUUUCUAAUUUGGUAUAGAGUGUGCUUACCUCCAACACAUUUUUUUAGUGAAUUCUGAACAUGGUGUCACCACUUUUGUAGGUGAAAUUCUGAUAUAAUAAUAAUACUUGCCAUUUUUCAAUGAAGAUCCUAAUUGGUUCAAAGUGUUCAUACUAUAUAAAUAAUCAAAUAUCAAUAUCCUAGACAUAUAGAACUACAUUCUAUACUCAAUAAACAACUCAAUUAUGUGCUCCUUGCGUUUACAUUAUAUAUUAUUUUUUAAUUUUUCGUGGAUCUCAACAAAACCUUAUUAAAGAAGGCAAAUCACAAGAUGGUCAAUUACUUUAAAUAUUAUUUACAUAAGAUAAUAAUUUUAUAAUUGAUAUAUUUUUUUAUGAUUAAGAAAAAAUAAAUAAAUGUGAAUCAUUUAAGGAUGACCAUGCCCUUAUAAAAAAAAUUCUUAAUUUUUUCUAAACAAAUCAAAAUUCUCCAACAGACACUUAAAAACACACCUAACAAAAUUCAGAAAAAUUCGGCUAUUGUGCUAACCACCUUAAAACAUUCAUAAAAAAUCAAUCUAUACAAACUAAAGAAUUGAGACACCAAUUAUAAAAAAAAAAAUUGAUGUAUUUUUUCUAUGGUAAAUUUUUUAAAAUGUCUUUAUUGUUAAUUAUAACAUUUAAUGAUAUUAAUUCAUCCUUUGGUAGUUAAAAACAGUCAGAAUAAAGAGUAUUCGUAAAAUUCACUGUUUAAAAGUAAAUAGAAUUAUUACAUCAAUCUAUUGCUUAAUUGUUUCUUAUAUUUAAGAACAUAAUUAUUGUUUUCUAAUUUUAACAUUUUUUUACUAAAAUUAUCAUAAUUCAUAUUAUAAGAAAAUAUUAAAUAUUAGUUUCUACAUAGUAACGUCACUUAAAAUGAAGUAUUAUUAAAAUCGACUAAGUCAAAUUUAACAUGUAAAAUAUAUAUUUUUUUAAAAUUAAAAGAAUAUAAAAUCAUUUUUAAAUAUAAUUUUAUAUCAUGUAAAGUGUAUAGAUCAAUCUCAUGUUGUUCAAAUAUAAUAAUAGGGUUGACUUAGUUAAUUUUGAGUUGAUCUUAAAUUCUUUUAACAAGUAAAAGUAUUUGUAUUAGUAUAAAAUUAAUAACAAAUUAACUAAUGUGAAAUUAAAUAAAUCUUAAAAAUAAAGUAAUAUUAAAAAUAGAUUUAGUAUCUACCUUUCCAUUUUUCAAGUCUAGAUUUAAUUUUUUAAAGCACAUCAUUCCAAAAAGGCUUACAUCUUAUGACACUCUCUACCGACAUACCCAAAUAUUUGAAAGGUGUUUUCAUCGCAUCACAAUUAAUAAUAGCAGCAAAACCUUUUAACUGCAAACAAAUCAAUCACCACUCCUUUACCGCUACUUCUCAAGAAAUUCACUUUUAAAUCAUAUACAAACUCAAAACAGCUUAAAAUAACCUUAAUGAUAAACACACUUUUAAUAUUUGCCUGACAGUAAAACAAUGUAUUAUCUGUAUAUUGGAGCAUAUUAACCCUGACAUUCUUGCUUCCAACUUCUAAACUCUCUAAAAAAUCGGUCUCGUCAGCUUUUCUAGAAACCUCAGCCAAUCCUUCGACCGUUAUAAGAAACAAAACAGGGCAAGAGGAUCACCUUGUCUCAAACGUUUCUAAUGAGAGAAUUCCUUAAUCAGAAUCCGAUUAACGAGAACAAAAACUGUAACAGAUUCUAGACCAACUUUAAUUUACAAAAUCCACUAUCACAAAAUCUCAAUCUGCAUAACAUGUAAUAAAUAAACUCACACUUCACAUAAUCAUAUGUUUUCUCAUAGUCCACCUUAAAAAAUACACAAGACUUCUUCUUCCUCUUUACUUCCUCUAGUACCUAUUUAUAUAUUUUCUACCCGACCUUCAAGGAAUCAGACAAAGUUAACUAAGAACACAUUUUAUAGUGUUUUACAUUUAACUAAAAGAAUCUAAGAAGAAAUAUGAGAUAAAUAUAGUAAAUAUAAAACCUCAAUUGUCCCACAAACAAUAUGCAAACUUUACAAUAACAUAAUAAAAUGAGAAUUCGAUGUUUUUCAAUACUAAAAAAAAUAUGAGAUUAAAAAUCAUUAAAAAUUAAAAAAAAAAUAACAACAUUGUAAAGUAGUUUUACAAUAUAUUUACUCAUAUAAUCAUGGUCGAAUCACCAUUAUAAACAUCUUUUAAAAGAAUAUAGUUUUGAAGUAUAUUUUGUUAUUUUUUAUAAAACUAUUUUUUUUCUCAAUUAAUCUUUGUUCAUCUAAUGCAGACUUUUACAGUACAUAUCAUAAAAAAAAUAACCAGUAGCAGCGUGGAUUCUUUUAUAUACAUAUAUAUAUAUAUAUAUAUAUAAAGUGCAAUAAAUUUCUUAAAAAUACAUGGUUAAGAUAAAAUUCUGUUUUGAACUUUCUAUUUCAAUUUUUUAUUAAUAUAAAGUAUACGCACAAAAUAAAAUAAUAAAUACCAUUAUAAAAUAAAAAAUAUAUUGAAAGAUAAAAGUUGGAAAUGUCUGAAUUCGAAAAUGAAAAGAAAUAGAAAGCACAGAAGAAAACGUGUUGAAAUUAAUAGCUUAUCCGAGGACCACACGUAUGAACAAGCACACUAAAAAAAUAAUGUUUGGGACCAUAGUUUAGUCCUCUAUGAAAAAUUUCAAAAUUGGUCCCAAACAAACACAACACGAAUAUAGUAUAUAUGAAAAAUCUGAAAAUAUACUCACAUGUGUAUUCUAGAAAUUACAUCAACAUACUUACUUGUAUUCUAAUUACAACAAUUAUGAUAUUAAUUAAUACUUUGAUAGUUAAAAACAAUCAUAUUAGUUCUACUUCAAGUUUACAGCAGGGCUUUAUUAUACAGGUUCUUAACAUUGAUUAGUGAGAUUUAGAGAUACAUAAAUAAUUGUUAAUUUAAAAGAGGUGUGGUUGAUGAAGUUUUUUCUUAAGGUUUGGUCAAUAAAUUUCUCGUUUUUUAACUGGUGUCUAGAACCUUUGGUAUGUAUGUAUUUGAUUUAAUGAUUUUUCUUUAGUUGGUAGUGUUGGGAAAGGCAGUAAGAAAUUUUUUUAUGAGAUUUAGAUGCGUAUGCAAAAAUGUACUUUUGUUUUUUCUUACUUUGUAGGAGAGUCGUAACACCCUUAAGUGGACCUAUUUAAUUUAAUUGUUUAUUACUGAUAAUUUUUAUUUUUUUUUGGUUUAUAUAUGCUUCGGAGGAGUUUGGAAGUUUAAAAUACACAUAUAUAUUCAACCAAACCACAAAGUUCUUAUUUAUAAUAUGAAAAUUGGAAAGACAUACAUUAGGAAAAGAAAAGAGACAUUCAAUCCUAAUGUUACAUAUUAAAGAGAAAGAAACAAACUUUGACAAUAGCAACCUUAUUUGUAGCAUAUUAUGAGACUAAGGUGGUUGAUGAGAGUGAACCUUUCUUUAGCUCACAGGCAAAAUGCCUUUAAGACUUGGCCAACCAUCAACUAUUGGCCUCACUUCACCCAUAAGUUUGUCAUCAUAUGUACCUGGACUGAAUUUGAUACGUGCAUACUUAUCUCCUUUGAAAAGGUAAGCUUCAGAUUCCUCAUGGGAAGCAAAACAUGCAUCAAUUCCACUUUCAAAGAUUGUAUUUUUCAAAAUAGGAAAUCCAUCACCGAUGUUACGAAUGGUGCCAACAAGCUGCUUGGAAUCAUAGUCUAUGCGAACAUACUUAUUUCCCUUGAAUAUGUAAACUUCUUUUCCUCUGGUUGACCUGAAUGCAGAGUCUAUGCCAUUCUCAAACACCGUGUUUUUGAGGACGGGAAACAUUUGAGCAAUUGUGGUAGGACCUGAGAGAAUCUUGUCAUUUGUUGUGCCUGGAGCAUAGUCUAUGUAGACACAGUAUUUGGUUGAGAACACAUAUGCUUUACUCUCUUCGGUGUCAAAGGAACAGUCUAUUCCAGGUUCUGCAAAGAACGAUGCUGUAAGUGAUGGAAAACCACUACUAAUCAAACGCAGAUUAGUCAAAAUCUUAUCAUCUGAUUUUCCUGGAGUGUAAUACAGCCGCACAUACUUAUCCUUCAUGAAGAAAUAGACUUCAUAGUCUUUUGAUGAACGAAAUGCAGCAUUGAUGUAAGCCAUCUUUCUUAACACAAGAGAGAGAUAUGAUUUGAUUUGAGGAUAUAUACUUACAUUCCUCCCAAAGGCACCUAUUUAUACUGUUAUGGAGUGUGAACUUCUUUACCAUUGGUGUUGGAAAGGAAAUCAUAAAGAAUCUUUUACAACAUAAAAAAUAAAAAAAAACGUUGGCAUUAUUGGUGCAACAUGUCCUCUCUGUUUUUUUAUUGGCAUGAAUAGACUUAUUUAUGCAUGUGCUGAAUCACAGAGUUAAUCAAGAAGAGGAUAUCAAAUAAAUAAAUUGAACUAAAAAAAUUGUUAAAACAAAAAAUGUUGUCUAUAUAGCAUUACAAAUGAUGAUUUUUACAAAAAUCGUCAUCUAUAAUGUAAUAUUUUUUUUCAACUAAUGAACAAGAUGACAGUUUGUGCAAAAACGUCAUUAAUUAUGAAAAAAUAAACGAUAAUUUUUAUUAAUAGCUUUAGCCUAUAGCAAAGUAAAAACUACCAUUUUAAUUAUCGUGUAAAUUAAAUUUUUAAGUAUUUUUUUUAUCAGUAAUGAAAAAUCAAUAAAUGGGAACCACUUCAGGGGUGGUCCAACCCUUUUACAAACUCACAUCCAAACCGCCGAAUAAAUAACCAACAAAACCAAGUGCUAAUUUAAAGAUAGUCAAUAAAUUUUUAAAUAAUAGACAACGGAUUGAAAAUAGUUGCUUUAAAACUCUAAAAAAAUUCAUCUAAACACUAUUGAUUGUAACUAAAAAUCACAAAUCUUCAUUUGAGAGGACUAUUAAGACAUAAAAGGACAUCUAAGUAAUAAGUUAUACGUUUGUUUCACAGUGCAAUCGUACAUAUUUCUUUUAGUCAUGGCAAAGAAAAAAAAUUACUUAUUAAGAUAUCUAUGUAGGAUUUUAAUUGAAUAAAAUGCAUGUAAAAUUGGAUUAUUUUACCUUUUUUUUCAUACAACCUAUUAGAAGUGAACUUUAAGCCUAACUCAAUUCUAUAAAAUCGAUUCAUAGUGAACUUUAAGCAUAACUCAAUUUCAUAAAAUCGACUCAUGAAAUGAAGUUUGCAUUCAUUUAUAUACAAUGAAAUGUUUUAUAAUUUCUAAAUUUCUAGUUGACGUGGCAUCUUUAACAAAAUCAGAUAAAUGAUUGAAAGUUGAUCCCAAACAUUCCACUACUUCACAUAUUUUUUCUAUCUUUUAGUGUUUUUUUUUCAUACAAACAUAUUUUUUCUAUCAUUUAGUGUUUUUUUUUCAUACAAACCAUAUUCGAGGGACCACACGUCACAAGAUAUGAAUUUCCAUCAACUUAACAUUAACUUUUAUAAAUAUAUGAUGUUGAUACAAACCAUAUGAAGGUGACAACUGUACCAAAAUUGAUUGCAGGUCCCAAACAAAUACAACACGUGAAAAAUACCAAUUGCAGUGUGGGUCUUAUUUUGUAAGAGUUUAUGGAUCACAUUUAUUUUUUUAUAAAAAAAUUAAUAACAAUGUAAAUUCUAUAUAUAUGUAUAGAAAUAAACUACAAUAAAUUUCUUAAAAAUACAUCUCGUUAAGAUAAAAUUCUGUUUUCAACUUUCUAUUUCAAUUUUUUAUUAAUAUAAAGUAUACACACAAAAUAAAAUAAUAAAUACCAUUAUAAAAUAAAAUAUUGAAAGAUAAAAGUUAGAAAUGUCUGAAUUCGAUAAUGAAAAAGAAAUAGAAAGCACAGAAGAAAACGUAUUGAAUUUAAUAACUUAUCCGAGGACCACACGUAUGAACAAGCACACUAAACGACAUGAAAAAAAAUAAUGUUUGGAACCAACGUUCGGUCCUCUAUGAAAAAUUAAAAAAAUUGGUCUCAAAAUUGGCCCGAAACAAACAACACGUGAAUAAAGUAUAUAUGAAAAAUCUGAAAACAUACUCACAUGUGUAUUCCAUAAAUUACAUCAACACAUUUACUAGUAUUCUAAAUUCUAAUUACAAACCUUUAUUGUAACACCCCAUAAUUUACAUAUAACUAUUACAAUAAAAGUUCUAACAGUUUUUAUAUAAAUUUGGAUUUUUUCAAAACAUUCCUAAUACAUGAUUAGGAUUUAUAGAAAUACAAAUAUUUACAUAUCCAGUUUAAAAGAACAUCUUAAUGUCCUCCAGAACCUUCAACACAUGUAUGGUCAUCUGCUCGUGUACGUCGUACAGUCAUCGUAGUUCAAACACAACAAGAAAAGCAAGGGUAAGCUAAUGAAAAGAAAUUUCAUAUCUUAUCUAAUUUAUUUAUUUUUUGCAAAAAGAACCAAUCAAACAAAUCAUUUAUAAAUAUUUCUUUAAAUGUUAUCAUAUAAAAUUUCAAUAUCAAUUUCAUCAUUCAUAUAGACCACACAUGGAUCUAUUUUCAAUCACAAUCAUUGGAUUUCAUUUCAAUCCUACUUCAUCUUCCCGGAAGACUCAUUAAGUAUGCCCCUACCAGAGACUAACACCUGACCCAAAGAUUACCAUCGAAUCCAAUAGAAAGGAUCAGGGUAAGUUCAAACAUCCAAUACCGAGUGUCUACAAUGGGACCCGGUGUGUAUGAACUCCCUCUCAGCUUCUCACCACCUAAUAUCUUAGUCUACAUGACUUAGAUCAUUAGUGAAGCCAGAGGAUCUCCGUUAAACAUAGGCUUUUCAUACUUAACGUACCAUCAAACAACAACUCAUACAUUAUCCCAAAUGUAUGACAUCAAUUUCAUACAAUUUACAUCAUUCGUAUAUAAUACAUAUCAUUCAAUCAGAACAUUUUAAAAAGUUAUACCAUUCAAGAACUUUUCCUACAUCAAAACAAUAUUUAACUUUCAAACUAUCAAACUAUGAUAUUUAUAAAGUUAAAAUAAUAUAUAAACAAACACACAAUAUAUAAACAAAUAACACCCCUGCAAGAGAAAUUCAAUAUUGGGACCACGUCCCUUCCGCAUUCAGAUUUUCUAUCCUAAGGUGCUAUUAAAAAUUAAAUUAAGCUUCCCUUACCUCAAUUGCUUGUUUUCCAAGCAACUUCAAGAAUUUUGUUCCCCACAGUCUUGAUAAACUUCAAGAUUUACGGGCCUAAUGCAAGUUAUCCAAACAGAACAAAAAUUCAGUAUAUAGUAGAAUAAGUUGAAAGGAUUAAACUUCUCAACUGACCCAACCAAGAUUGAUGACUAAAUCCUAAGAAAAAACAGAUAACAAAGGAUCUCUAGAGUAAAAAUGAACUUACUCUGUUUGAAAAUAAAUCUGAUCGGGUAGAAAUGUACCUUAACUCCUCAACUACAGCGUGGUACGAUCAGAUUCUAAAAUAGAUGAGGUAUGGAGUGAGAAAUUAAAAGAGAAGGUAGAAGGAAGAGAUGGAGGGAAAAAGAAGAAAGAAAAGAAUGGUUAGUGAAAGUGGGGGCAAAGUUCUGCUUCUUUAUCCUCUCUUUUUUUACGCUGUUACAUUUAUGAUAUUAAUUAAUACUCUGAUUGUUAAAAACAACCAAAAUAAAGUAUAGAUAAAAAAAAUUAAAACUUCCCACGAUAAUCGAGGAUCAUUCUUAAGAGUAUCUUAACUUGAAUCUUAGAACUAUAUUCAAUAUAUACACAAAAUUUUAUAUUUUUACUAACUUAAACAUCGAAAUAUUUUUCUACAAAAUGAGGUCUCUCAUUUUCUAAUGGUUGAAUUACUAUAACUUGAAAAGAACUCACUAAUGCUCCCGCCCUGAGUUGACGAACAUAAAUUAAAACAUACUUCACAUGUUACAUCAUCAACAGAUUUACUAGUAUUCUAUUUUAAACAUUUAUAAUAUUAAUUAAUACUCUGGUAGUUAAUUUGAAUUGAUAUAUUAACAUAAAAAUUCUUAUUUAUUAGAUUUUUUUAUAAUUUUAAUUUCAAAAUGUUAAUCUUUUACACUACAAUAAAACUAUUAAAUAACAACUAAUUUCAAAAAUAAAUAAACUAUUAUAUGAAUUAAGUUAAAUAUUAUCUUAUAAAUUAAGAUAUUCUAUUAUUGUAAAAAUUUAUAAACUAUAGUUUCUAAAUUGGUAUUUCACAUAAUUACCAAUAUUUAAUUAUUAACUACUUUAUAUUCUCAAUUAAUCUUUAUAAUAACUAAUAUAUUAUAUUAAUAUUAAUUUAAUUGACAUUAACUUAAAAAAAAAUCACAUCAAUUAAAUUAACAUUAAUUUUAUUUUUUAAUAUUUUUUUGAAUUAAUUUUAGUUAAUUCGUCAUAAAUUUAACAUUAAUACAAAUAUUUUAUUCAUUGAAAAAGAUAAAAUAAAAUAAUCUCAAUUCAUAAUUAACUUAAAAAAAACUGAAAUGUAACUUAAUAUGUAUCUCAAAAUUCUGAUAAAAAAAUUUAAUUCUAAGUUAACAGAUAUUUAUUUAGAGAAAAAUAAACUUACUUAAUUAAAGAUGGUGUAAACUUUUUGUAGCUUAUAUGCUUUGAAAUUAUUAUUUUUGUAGCUUAUAUGCUUUGAACAUUUUUCGGAUUUUUUUUCUUCCUGUUUAAAUGUAUUUCCCAUUGUACCAUCUUUUUAAGUUACUCUCUAAAUGUUUUAGUAAACUAGCUAUUUGAUCUUAAAAAAUUAAAAUUAAUAAAAAAUAUAGUUUAUAAGAUUAUUAGCUAAUUUAUUGAUGCAGACACAGUUUCCUCGUACAAACGUAAUAAAAAACAAACCUCAUACAAAUCAAAAAAUAUUGAAACACAGGUCUCAAAAAAGAGACUUAGAAGUAAUUGGCAUGCGUGUCUUUUAUAAAUUGAUGCUGCAUAUAACUCGAUUUUGUAUUUUUUGUUCAAUGGUGAUUUUCUUAAAAUGUCUUUGUUGUUAAUUAUAACAUUUAAUGAUAUUAAUUAAUACUUUGGUAGUUAAAAAAAGUCAGAAUAAAGAGCACUGAACUUAGUCAAAAAAAGAGAAAUUAAAACCGUAAAAUUCACUGUUUAAAAGUAAAUAUAAUUAUUACAUAAAGCUAUUGCUUAAUUGUUUCUUAUAUUUAAGAACAUAAUUCUUCUUUUCUAAUUUUAACAUUUUUUUACUAAAAUUAUCAUAAUUCAUAUUAUAAGAAAAUAUUAAAUAUUAGUUUCUACAUAGUAACGUCACUUAAAAUGUAGUAUUAUUAAAAUCGACUAAGUCAAAUUUAACAUGUAAAAGAUUAUUUUUUUAAAAUUAAAAGAAUGUAAAAUUAUUUUUAAAUGUAAUUAUAUAUCAUGUAAAGUGUAUACAUCAAUCUCAUGUUGUUCAAAUAUAAUAAUAGGGUUGACUUAGUUAAUUUUGAGUUGAUCUUAAAUUUUUUAACAAGGAAAAAUAUUUGUAUUAAUAUAAAAUUAAUAACAAAUUAACUAAUGUGAAAUUAAAUAAAUCUUAAAAAUAAAUUAAUAUUAAAAAUAGAUUUAGUAUCUAUCUUUCCAUUUUCCCAGUCUAGAUUUAAUUUUUUCAACCACACCAUCCCAAAAGGCUUUCCUCUUAUGACACUCUCUACUGGCAUACCAAAAUAUUUGAAAUGUGUUUUCAUCACAUCAAAAUUAAUAAUAGCAGCAAAAUCCUGAACUGCAAACAAAUCAAUCCCCACGCCACCAUUGCUACUUUUCAAUAAAUUCACCUUUAAAUCAGAUACCAACUAAAAACAUCUUAAAAUAACUUUAAUGAUAAACACUUUUAAUAUUCGCUUGACAAAAAAAAUAGUGUAUUAUCUGCAUAUUGAAGCAUAUUAACAUUGACCUUCUUGCUCCAAACCUCUAAACUCUCUAAAAAAAAACAGUCUCGUCAACUUUUCUAGAAACCUCAACCAAUCCUUCAACCGCUAUAAGAAACAAAAACAAGGCAAGAGGAUCAUCUUGUCUCAAACGUUUCAAAUGAGAGAAUUCCUUAGUCGGACUCAUUAACAAGAAUAAAAACUUUAGUAGAUUCCAGACAAACUUUAAUCCACAAAAUACCAAUCUUCCUAACAUGUAAUAAAUAAACUCCCACUUCAUAUAAUCAUAUGUCUCCUCACAGUCCAUCUUAAAAAAUACACAAGACUUCUUCUUCCUCUUUACUUCCUCUAUUACCUAUUUAUAUCUUUCUACCCCGACCUUUAAGGAAUCAGAUAGAGUUAACUAAGAACACCUUUUGCAGUGAUUUACAUUUAACUUAUAGAGUCUAAGAAGAAAUAUGAAAAAAAUAUAAAAGAUAUAGAACCUCAAUUGUCCACUAAUAAUAUGCAAACUUUGAAAUAAGAUGAUAUGAGAAUUCGAACUUUUUCAAGUACUAAGGAAAAAAAAAAUAUGAGAUUGAGAAUCAUUAAAAUUAAAAAAAAAUAACAACAUUGUAAAGUAGUUUUAUAAUAUAUUUACUCAUAUAUUCAUGGUCCAAUCACCAUUAUAGACAUCUUUUAAGAAUAUAGUUUUGAAGUAUCAUUUGUUAUUUUUCAUAAAACUAAUUUUUUUACUCAAGUAAUCUUUGUUCAUCUAAUGCAAACUUUGACAGUACAUAUCAUCCAAAAAAAAUACCAGUAGCAGCGUGGAUUCUUCUAUAUAUAAACUGCAAUAAAUUUCUUAAAAAUACAUCGUUAUGAUAAAAUUAUGUUUUCAACUUUCUCCAUUUUUAAUAUUUGUAUUUAAUUUAAAUUAGUAUCGGUUAACGUUAAUAUUAUUUAUUGGUUAAUAUUUAUUUAAAUUAACAUCAAUCUUCCUAAAAUUACUGUAAGUUUUUAAUAUCUGUAUUUAGUUUAAAUUAGUAUUAGUUAACAUUAAUAUUAUUUAUUGUUAAUAUUUAUUUAAAUUAACAUAAUCUAACUGAAAUUACUGUAACUUUUUAAUAUCUAUUUAAAUUUGAAUCGACUGAUCAUACGAUGUCUUCCCCUGGCACACCACAAUUGAAUUAGCUAUUAGCUGAUACAGUUGUGAGUGUGUUGGUGUGUGAUUUUAUGCAGGUUCUGUUUUGUAGUGUUGUCUUGUGAGUAAAUUCACAUAUGUGUUAAACCAAACCACACAACCAUACAGUUUUUAUUUAUAAUUAAGAUUAUGAAAAUAGGAAAGACAAACAUGCAGUGUUCUUACAUUAGGAAAAGAAAGAGGCAUUCAAUCCUAAUGUUACAUUAAAGAAACAGAAACAAACGUUGGCAAUGACAGCCUUAUUUGUAACAUAUUAUGAGACUAUGCUUUUUGAUGGAGAGUGAAGCCUUCUUUAGCUGACGGGCAAAAUGUCUUUAAGACAUGGCCAACCAUCAACGAUAGGCUUUAUAUCACUCAGAAGAACGUCAUUAGUUGCAUUUGGAGUGAAUUUGAUACGAACAUAUUGAUCUCCUUUGAAAAGAUAAGCUUCAGACUCCUCAUGAGAAGCAAAAGACGCAUCAAUUCCACUUUCAAAGAUCGUAUCUUUCAGAACAGGAAAUCCAUCAGUGAUUUUACGAAUGGUGCCAACAAGCUGCUUGGAAUCAUAGUCUAUGCGAGUAUACUGAUUGUCCUUGAAUAUGUAAACUUCUUUUCCUAUGGUUGACCUGAAUGCAGAGUCUAUGCCAUCCUCAAACACUGUGUUUUUUAGGACAGGAAAUGUUUCAGCAAUUGUGGCAGGACCUGAGAGAAUCUUGUCAUUUGUUGCACCUGGAGUAUACUCUAUGUAGGCAGACUGAUUGGUUGAGAACACAUAUGCUUCACUCCCUUCAGUAUCAAAGGAACCGUCUAUUCCAGGUUCUGCAAAUACCGUUCCUUUAAAUACUGGAAAACCAGUACUAAUCAAACGCAGACUAGUCAAAAUCUUAUCAUCUAAUUUUCCUGGAGUGUAUUGCACCCGCACGUACUUAUCCUUAAUGAAGAAAUAGACUUCAUAAUCUUUUGAUGAACGAAAGGCAGCAUUGAUGUAAGCCAUCUUUCUUAACACAAGAAAUAGAGGGAUAUAUGAUAUGAUUUGAGGAUGCUUACAUUCCUCCCAUAAGCACCUAUUUAUACUGUUAUGGAGUUGGAACUUCUUUACCAUUGGUGUUGGAAAUGAAAUCAUAAAAGAAUCUUUUACAACAUCAAAAAUAAAAAUAAAAACAUUCGCCAUAUUGGUGCACAUGUCUUCUCUGUUUAUUUAUUGGCAUGAAUACACUUAUGUAUGCAUGUGCUGAAUCAGAGUUAAUCAAGAAGAGGAUAUCAAAUAAACAAAUUGAACUAAAAAAAAUUGACCACAGUUAAAACAAAAAAUGUUGUCAUUUAAACACUAUUGAUUGUAACUGAAAAUCACAAAUCUUCAUUUGAGAGGACUAUUAAGACAUAAAAGGAAAUCUAAGCAAAAAGUUAUAUGUUUGUUUCACAGUGCAAUGAUACAUAUUUUUUUUAGUCAUGGCAAAGAAAAAAAUAUUAAUUAUUAAUAUAUUUAUGUAGGAUUUUCAUCAAAUAAAAUGCAUGCAAAAUUAUGCGAAAUUGGGUUAUUUCACCUUUUUUUCAACCAUUCAGUGUUCUUGUUCAUACAAACCAUAUCCGAGGUACCACACAUCACAACAUAUGAAUUUUCAUUAACUUAACAUUAAUUUUGAUAAAUAUAUGAUGUUGAUACAAACCUUAUCAAGUUGACAACUGUACCAAAAUUGAUUGCAGGUCCCAAACAAAGCACAUGCAGAAGUUAGAUAACAUUUGCUUACGUGUUUCAAUUUUAGUGGCUUUUAAGGUUACGUGUUAUCCUCAAGUGCCACACUCUCAAUAAUCAUUUAAAACAUCCAAUUUUUUAACAUGUUUGCCAUUUAAAAAUAAUUUAUAAUUCACAUUCGUUUUCAUUAAGAUGAACGAAUUCAUAAUAUAUAAAUAAUUAUGGUUUAGUUGGUGUUAAAUUAGAAUUAAUGUUAAUUACUAAAUAAUAAAACUAUUCAAUAGCAACUAAUUUUAAAAAUAAAUAAAUUAUUAUAUUAAUUAAAUUAAAUAUUAUCUUAUAAAUUACAAAAUCAUUAAUAUUUAAGAAAAAUCUAUUAUUAAUAAAAAAAUUAUAAAUUAUGUAGUUUCUAAAGUGAUAUUCACAUAAUACCAAUAUUUUAAUUAUUAACUAUUUUAUAACUAUCAAUAUUUUAAUUAUUAAUUACUUGAUAUUCUUAAUUAAUCUUUAUAAUAACUAAUAUAAUGUUCUUAUGCAAAGUUAUGCUACAUUAUUUUGUGGUUUUAAGCGUCAGCUUAUGAUGCAACCAAGUAGUUUCAGCUGAAGUUCUUCUCUGCUUGUGCCAGACUAUGCAGCUCAGAUCAUCUCUUUGUUUUAGAAUUUUUGUGUAUAAAAGAAGCUCAGUAGUGUUAGGUACCUCUUUUAACUUAAAUAAAUAAAUAAAAAAUCACAUCAAUUAAAUUUAUUUAUUUUUAAUAUUUAUUUGAAUUAAGUUUAGUUCAUUCAUCACAAAUUUAACAUUAAUACAAAUAUUUUAUUCAUUGGAAAAAAUAAAACAAAUUAACCUCAAUUCAUAAUUAACAUACCAAAAUUUUAAGUGUAGUUUAAUAUGCACCACAAAGUUCAGAUAAAAAAUCUAACUAUAACACUAGGAUUUUGAACUAGGAUUCUGAGCUAAUAGAGAUAAAUCUUGGAGUUAAAAGAGUCACAUUUUCUUUUUUUGUUAAUAAUAUUUUUUUUUCAUGUGAUGGCAGAUGAUUGUUGUUACUUGAGGUGUCAGCCUAGCUGAGAUGUCAAGUUGCAUAGUGAUGUCUAACAUGAAAACUUUUUAUAAAAAAAAAAAGUUUAUGCAGAGACAAACCUAACAAGUUCAAAAUUUGACUCAAAUGGAAGAACAAAAAUGAACUUACUUUAUUAAAGAUUCUAAUUUGGCAGUCUUGUAGUAUUCAUUGCUAUGAGUAUGAGUCUAAUGACACACUCCGAUCGCCAAACCUCAAACUGGAGAGCGAGUAGAUCAGAAUCUUAAAAAGAAGACAGAGAAAAGAAAAAAAAAGAAUUUUUUUUAAAGAGAUGAUUAUUCUUUUAAAAUAAAACUUUAAUCUUUUAACUUUAUCAAUAAAAUAUUCAAGUGUCAUUUUAAUAAUACCUACUUUUACUCUAAGACUAUUUUAUUUGAUCCUACCUAGAUAUAUAGUAUUUUAAAAUAUUACUUAUACAUAUAUAAAAUUUAGAUAAAUAUAAUAUAUUUACAAAACAAGGCCAAAUAAAACGUCCAUGAUCUUGUACCUCUAUUCAUAUUUCAUGUAUGGCAAUUUACAAAACAAACAAUGUAUUAUACUAAUUUUAUAUUUUUAUGAAUAUAUUAAAGUUAUUAUUAUUUUUUAUGUAUUUUAAUAUUAAGAUGUAUUUUUAUGUUUUCAACUUUCUAUUUCAAUUUUUUAUAAGUAUACAUACAAAAUAAAAUAAUAAACGUGUUGAAUUUAAUAGCUUAUCCUAGGACCACACGUGUGAACAAGCCCACUAAAAGAUAUGAAAAAAGUAAUGUUUGGGACCAGCAUUCAAUCCUCUAUGAAAAAUCCCAAAAUUGGUCCCAAACAAACACAACACGUGAAUAAAGUAUAUAUGAAUAACUAUUUUCAAAGUAUAGUUAAUUAAUCAAUCUCCUUUUAUGACAACAAUUAUUUUCAUUCAUAUGAAUGCGAAUUAUUUUUUAACGAAUGUAGAGAACUAAUGUUUUAAAAAUAUUGAAAAAAUAAGAAUUCAAAAACUGGUGAAAAUUCGAAAAGUGAUAUUUUUUAAAUUAAGAAAAUUUAAAAUAAUUAUAUUUAAUUAUAAUAGUAUAUAAUUGUUACCAAAAGUAAUGUUGGAAGAAAAAUUAGAUGCAAAAUGUAAUGAUUAUAAAUAUAUGAAUACUAUGAAAAAUAAUAAUAAUUAUAAGAAAAAAUGAAAAAUAAUCAUAUUUAAUUAAUGAAUUGUAGUCCAAUAAAUUGUGAAUAUAAUGUAUUACAAUAGAUGACAAGUAUUGUUAGAGUCUUAUUGAAAGAAGUUAAGACCAAAUAAUCAUAUUUAACUAAUUCUUCGUAAUAAAAAUUAUCUACUUUAUGAACUAAUUAUUAAACUUAUUUUAUAUUUUAUAGAUGUUCAACUACUCGAAUCCGAAUAAAUUGAUUAUUUAACGAUAGUUUGGACAUCCUAUUUGCUCAACUUUUACAACACCUUAAAAUAGAUCAUGAUUAAAAUAACUUAAUCAUAUAUUUUCUACUAUUAGAUUUAGUUUAUAUGCUUUUAAUAUAUAUAAAUUUUGAUUUUACAUAAUUAAUUUUUAAUUUGAUUUGAUGUGGUUAAUAUUUUAUUAUUUUAUGAGCAUGUUUUUCUGUCAUAUUCUAAAAUCUGCAUGGGAUUUUUCAACUAAUGAACAAUAAAGGUGACAGUUUAUUAAAAACGUCAUCUAUUAUAAAAAAAAGUAAUUUUAAUUAUCAUGUAAAUUAAAUUUUUUAAAUAAUAGCAAAAUAUAUGACGGAUUAAAAAUCAUCAUUUUAAAACUCUAAAAACUUGUCAUCUAAAACACUUAAUAUUAAAAAUCACAAAUCUUCCAACUGUUAACACAUAUUUUUUUUUUAUCAGUAAUAAUAAAUAAAUAAAUAUGAGUUAGUUUAGGGUGAUCUAACUCAAAUACAACUUAUUAAAAAUAGUCAACCAACAAAAUACUAACCAAACUAUAUCAAAAUUAUUCAAAUUACUCUGAAAAAAAAAAAAACUCCAAAACCAACGAUCAAUAAAAUAUAAUCACAAUUAAAUUGAAUUUAAGCAAAUCAUAGAUUCAAGACAUCAAUUUAAAUAAAAAAAAUAAAUAGAUGAAAUUUUAAAAGAAAUUCAAAACCAAAUUUUCAUUUCAACUAAAACAAUCUUUAAAUAAUUCAUACUACAUUUAAAAAUAACCUAAAAUAUUUAUAAAAAAAAAUUGGACAACUGUACCACAAUUGAUUCCACCGAUAAAUACAACAUGUGAAAAAAUACCACUAGUGUGGAUUGUUUGGCAUAUAAAUAAAAGUUAGAAAUGUCUGAUUUCGAAAAUGAAAAGAAAUAGAAAACACAGAAAACGUGUUAAAUUUAAUAGCUUAUCCGAGGACCACAUGAUUAUCUUUUUAUAAUUUCUAUAAUUUCUUUUUAUCUUUUUAACGUAUUUCACAGUUCGUUUAAUAAUUUAUAAUAAUCAAUUAUAAAAUUAAAAGAAUUAAUGUUAAGAUAAAUCAUAUAUUUAUCAAAAUUAAUGUUAAGUUAAUGGAUAUUCAGUCCUCUGUCUGGUUUGUAUGAAAAAAAAAGUUAAACAACCCAAUAUCUUAUCUUUCAUCAUAAAUAAUUCUACAUAAUUAUAUUCAAGAAAAAUAUUUAUUUCACAAUCGUCCCAUCCUACAAUCCCAAAAAUAUUAAUUGAAAUUUAUAAUUUUAUUAAUUUUGAAAAAAAUUCUAACUAAGGGUUUUUUUAUUUUUUUUUUUAAAAAUUAAUAUUUAUUAAGCUUGUAGAGUAAACACGGUUGUCAAAAUAUUAGAACUCUUAUAUUCAAAUUUUUUUUUCUCAAUAUUUCUUACAUUAAAUAAAUACAUAAGACGAAUUAAACUCUAAAUUCUAAAGUUAGUAACUAAAAUUUUAUCAACCAAUUAAAUACAAAUUUAAAAAUUAUUUAUUAAUAAUAAAUAAUAAAAAUAAUUUAGAUAUUAAUAAUUUGUUAAGAUAAAUAUUGAAUAAAUUCCUAAACAUAUAUAUACAAUAUAAUAUAUAAAAAUUUAUACUGAAAUGUUAAAUUUUUGUGAAUAAUUAUGGUUUAUAGUUGUGAUUGUGAAUAUUUGCUAAAACGUAGUUGAAAAUUUCAAAAUGUUGAGCAGGACACAACUCAAUGUUUGCAAUAGUUCUCAAUGUCUAAAAGAAUGCAAUGAUAAUUCCAAGGUAAAAUUAUCUCCCAUAUUAUAGAAUUUAAUAUCUUGUUCAUUUCUUUACUAUUAAACUUUUUCUAAAUUCUUCCUACUAUUUCUAAAACUAUCAAUUUGAUUAUCCUUUUCUUAAAAAUCACUAUUUCUGGACCCUUUCUCUCCCACCCCAACCCACUCUAAAUUGCUAAAUUGGUGAUUGUUGAUCUUUCUACAUCUCCAUACUUUCUUAUGACAAUCCAUAAGUUUUUUAAUUCCUAAAAUAUCUUUUUUAACAUUUUGGAUUAUGUAAUCUGGAAGUCUUUUGUGAUUAGCUUCUGGAUUACAAAAUCUGAAAGUCUUUUCUAUACACGAGAUUAGCUUUUAGAUUAUGUAAUCUAAAAGUCUUUUUCUUUCAUAUGUUUGAUUAGCUUUCGAAUUACAUAAUCCAGAAGUCUUUUCUGGAUUAAGAUUAGCUUUCGGAUUACGUAAUCUGAAAAUCUUUUUUCAAAUGCGUGAUUAGCUUCCAAAUUACAUAAUUCAUACACUUAUCUCAAAUCCAAAAAAGACUUUCGGAUUUCGUAAAUCUAAAGGAAACUUUCGGAUCCAAAAAAUCUUCUAAAUUAUGUAAAAGAGUAUUUUUCACAUUUGGUACGAGGAUAACAAAAAAAAAAAAGUAUGGAAGUGCAUGAAGAAGGAGUCUGAAAUUCGUAUGGAACUCUCCCAUCAAUUUCAAUGCAUACUUGCCACAUUUAUACCAGCAUCUUUUAGUAGUUUAAGAUUUAAAGUUUAAAAUUUCAUAACUACUGAACACAGCCAUUGAACAAUCCAUUUGUAUAAGCUUUUCCAAGAGUACCAACAUCCCUCGCCAACCACCUGGUAAGUUUCAGCAGAAAAAAAAAAUUGAUCUGGAUAAUGAAGAACAGCUGGAUCAGCAUGAAAAUGAAAAACACGUCCAAUUUCAUGGUGAACAAACUCUCUGACAACACUAUAACGAUAUUUAUCUGAAUGAUCACUAAAAUGAAAAGAGAAGACGUGAAUUAUAAAUCAUUAUAUAAUUAAGAAUAAACUUUUACUUGAGUUACAGUAAAAAAAAAAAAAAACUACUAGCUCAUAUUGACAUGAAUGAAUGAGGUAAUAGUUUAGAUACUGCUUGCUUGAGAAAAAAACAGAUCAAGAUGAAUAUAGCUUGAGGGAGCCAUUCAUGGAGGAAGAUAAUGAUAAAUCAGAAAAAGAUAAUAAUCCAGAAAUAAACUAGACGAAACCUAGAAAUAAUAAACCAGAGUUAGUACAACGAAAAAAUAAAAAAAGAUAAUGAUAAAUAUUGUGCAAUAAGAAUUUAAAAUAAAUCACAAAAACUAAAGCAAGUUAAAAUUUAAAAUUAAAGUUAAUCACGAUUAAUUAAAACUACAAUUGUAUGUUAUGACACAAAGCAAGAAUUCAUGUUUAAAACACUACAACAUCGAAAUUAAAGGUAAAAAUAGUUUAUCAGAAAAAAAAAAUUAUAAACAAGAGAGUGUUUAGCAAAAUCCAUAACAUAGACCAGCAAUAACCACAAACAAAUAAUUAUGGUCAAUCAUGUUUGUUUUAAGAUGAAUUAGUAAACUGGAUCCCUUAUAAUAAUGCAACUGUAAAAUGACCUAAUUAAUUCAUAAGGAUAGAAAAGUUUGUCCCUGCAAGAAUAAGAUUAAAUAAAUUAUGCUCACUUAGUAUAUAUUUUAAAUAGAGUUUUACACACUGAAAAAAUCCAAGAGAAUGUAAAAUAACUGAAAAGAAUAGGUAACAGAAAUCACCUUACAUAAACAAUCAUUUUCCUUGUGCCUUAUAAAUAGUCUUAGGAAUACAAGCCAAACUUUUAGACUCUGGUAGAGCUAUGAUGUUUGGAAAACUAAUUCAUUGCACAUUGGCACUGUGAAAUAACAAAACAAAAAAUAAAAGGACCAAAAUAAAAAUAUAUAUAUAUAUUUUGGUUGGGUGUCUUUUGUAUAAUAUUUUGGUUAUUGUAGUGUAAUGUAUGUCAGAUCCUUAGUUAGUUGGGUGAUGAAAAAUUUGUUUGGUGUUUUUCUAAACUCCUUUCAUGGAAGAGAAGCUUCGAAACUACCUAGCGUAGCUUCAAAACUAUCUAAACCCUAAACCGCUCCAACUUUAAAUAAACAGUUAUUUCUAUGUUUCUAAAUCUCGUUAACCAACAUGAUCCAAACAUUAUUCAACAUAAGAUUAACCGAAGUAGAUGCAUCUUGAAUCUUGAAAUGUUCGAAAUAUGACUCAUGGACAAUAAGAUCGACCGAGCUCACUCCAAACUAGUCGCAACAAAGAUCCAAAUUAACUAAACAACUCUCACAAUGUAAUUAUACAUAUUCUUUUUUAGUCAUGGCAAAGAAAAUAAAUAUUAAAUUAAAUAUUAUUAUCGAAUAAAAUGCAUGCAAAAUUAGGUUAUUUCACUUUUUUUUAUACAAACAUUCUACUUCACAUAUUUUUUCAAUCGUUUAGUGUUCUUGUUCACACAAACAAUAUCCUAAGGACCACACGUCACAACAUAUGAAUUUCCAUUAACUUAACAUUAAUUUUGAUAAAUAUAUGAUGUUGUUACAAAUCAUGUCAAGGUGACAACUGUACCAAAAUUGAUUGCAGGUCCCAAACAAAUACAACACGUGAAAAAAUACCACUAGCAGUGUGGAUUCUUUAGCAGAUAUAUACGUAUAUAUAUACACUGCAAUAAUUUUCUUAAAAAUACAUCGUUAAGAUAAAAUUCUGUUUUCAAUUUUUUAUUAAUAUAAAGUACACACACAAAAUAAAAUAAUAAAUACCAUUAUAAAAUAAAUAAAAAAUAUUGAAAGAUAAAAGUUAGAAAUGUCUGAAUUCGAAAAUGAAAAGAAAUAGAAAACAGAAAACGCAUUGAAUUUAAUAGCUUAUCCGAGGACCACGUUACAUGAUUAUAUUUUUAUAAUUUCUAUAAUUUCAUUUUAUUUUUUAACGUAUUUCACAAUUUGUAAUAAAUAAUUAUAAAAUUGAAAGAAUUAGUGUUAUGACAAUAUCAUAUAUAAGUGUAUGCAAUCCUCAACCUCAAGAGCAGUAGAAUGUUUGGGACAAGUAUUCAAUCCUCUUGAUUUGUAUGGAAAAAAAAAUAACCCAAUUUUGCAUGCAUUUUAUAUGUAUUUGUUAAAGUUGAUUUUUGGUAAAUACUUAAUAUGUAUUUGUUUUGUUGUAGUGAUUAAAUCUUGCUGUAUACAAAGUUAACGGGUGAUACAAUAUCAGAAAUAGCUCUGCAAUUUUUAUUUUUUUUAAAUCUACAUGUUAUUCAAAUAAAUAUAAUAAUAUUUGCUUAAUACAAUAAAUAUAGUACUAAAAAUAAAUGAAAAAACUCUAAACAUACUCACAUGUGUAUUCUAGAAAUUACAUAGGCAGAUUUACUAGUAUUCUAAUUACAACAUGUAUGAUAUUAAUUAAUACUCUGAUAGUUAAAAACAACCAGAAUAAUAAAGUAUAGAUGAAAAAAUUAAAACUCAAAAUGGACUUAUGCAUGCAUACCAAUUUAUACAACAUACACAUGUCAAUAAUAAAGUUAUUAUGUUAAGUAAGUAAUAUUGCAAAUUAAAAUAUCCUAUGAUAGUGCUAAACUUAUCCAGUUUAUGUGACGAGGCAAAGAAAUUUGUAUUUUUUUAAUUUGAGUUUAUUAAUCGAAAAAUGAUUUAUAGAUCAUAUUUAUUUUCAUUAAGACGCAUGAAUUCAUAAUAUAUAAAUAAUUAUUAGUUUAGCUGGUGUUAAACUAGAAUUAAUGUUAAUUAAUAAAUAAUAAAUUAAAUAAAUAUAAAUAAUAAAAUCAAACAAUAUUAGCAUCAAUUAAAUCGAAUAAUUUUAUUUAUUUUUAAAAAUAAUUUAAAUUAAUUUUAACAAAUUCAUCAUUGACAUUAACAUAAAAGAAUUUACAUUUUUAACUUUAAAAGGUUAAUCUUUUACACUAUAAUAAAAUUAUUAAAUAACAUUUAAUUUUUUUUAAAUAAUUAAUUAUUAUAUUGAUUAAGUUAAAUAUUAUUUUAUAAAUUAAAAAAUAUUAGUAUUUUAAAAAAAUAUUAUUAAAUAAAAUUUAUAAACUAAUUUUAAAUUACUAUCUCACACUUAAUCUUUUAACUAUUAAUUAUUUUAUAUUCUCAACUAAUCUUUAUAAUAACUAAGAUAUUAUAUUGUAUUAAAGUUAAUUUAGUCAAUAUUUAAUAAUGUUACAAUAUUGAGUGACACAAUUAUUUAGAAUUUAAUUCGAUAAUUUUUAUAAUAAAUUAUCAUAAUUUUAGUAAAAAAUAAAAAAAGAUUGAAAAAAAAAUUAUGUUUAACAUAAAUAAUUUUUUAUUUUCAAAAAUAAAAAAAAUUAAAAUUGAAGCACUUAUUUUAUAUGUAAUUAAAACAUAUUUAACCUUAUUAUCAAAAACAACUUUUCGUUUCGUGUACGAAUAUCAUUGAGUAUAUGGAAUCUCAUUCAGCACAAGAUUUAUUUGUGUUACCUGUAAAUGGAAUUUUUUUAUAAGAAUAUUUUAAUGAUGUUUAAAUAUAAUUUUUUUCUAUAUAUAUAUAUUAUGGGAUUUUCUAUUUAGUUCACACAAUUUUAAAAAAAUAUACUUAAAGAUAAUUAUUAUUUUUAUAUAUAAGACAUAUAAUUUUUGUGUUACUACUCUAUUCAAAUCUUAUUUUUCUAUAUUUCUUACAUUAAAUAAACAGAAUAGACAAUUUAAAAUAUAUAUUUAAUUUUUUCAAUAAUUGUAAUAUUUAAUAAUAAGUUAAAUUAUAUAUUUUUUAAAAAAAAUACGAAGAUGACAAUGUGCAUGUUUUCGUCCGUGUAUAUAUAUAAUUAUUGUAUAUUACUAAUUAAAAUAAGUUAUUAUAGUAGGAAUGGAGAAAGAAAGUUGAUGCGAUGACAAAACAGUACACGACAAUGAUUUUAAGUAUUUUUGUUUUAGGUUUGGUCUAACCCCACCCUUUAAUCUUAUCCAGAAGUAAGAGGAAGGACACAUUUCUCACGUGCUUUACUUUACUAAGUUAGAAAUAAGUGUAUUCAUGAUAGUUUCCUGUAUCAAUAGUAAAGGACUUCCCACUCCAUAAUAGUAUAAAUAGGUGUCUUUCAUAGGAAUCUAAUCAUCCACAAAUCAACUCAGAUCUCUCUAUUUAUCUAUACUUUAUCCAUCAUUUUCUACAGUUUGUUAAGAAAAUGUCAAUCCCUCCACCAAAUGAUCCAUCCAGAGGUUCAUCAGAAUUCUCACAGCCUCUCCGAAUGGUAGAUUUUGUUGAAGCUCUAGAAUUGUUAAAUAAUAUCAACCGUGUGAACGUCGUGGAAGGAAACUUGACUGGAAUUGAGUACAGGACAGGUGAUCAAGAAUUAGAUAUUCGUCGUCCUGUAUAUCGUUGGGACAGAAGGCCCUACCAGGAGAUCUUUGAAAAUGGCUUCCAAGCAUGACCUCAAGGACAAACUCCCAACUCCACUUAUUAUGAUUUGCAUCACUUCAUUGAACAUGCAGGAGCCCCUCUUGAUUCCAAUAGGCCUCCAACUACAACACAUGUGUACCACACUCAACAAUGCUUGGCAACCAACACCUUCUAUCGAAGUCCUCCCACCCGGCUCUCAGAUCCAAUUUUAUCAUUAUGAAAUUUAUGCUCCUGGUGGUAUUUGGUAUUUGGGUUGCUCUCAGUCUUAAUAGUUACCCAUAUAUUUCUCAAGCUGAAGUUUGCUUUGUUGGAGGAAUUGCAUCUCAGUACAUUCGAUCUUGUCUCAUAUUCACAGCAACACGUGAAGCCGGAGCAAGGUUAGAUUACAUCUCAUGCUAUAUAAUUUUUAUAAUCAUCUCAUAUAAUCAAUCACUAACUAUAACCUAUUAUAUUGUGCAGGUUUCCGAGAUUACAGAGAGAAACAAGAUUGGUGAUAAACAGAAAUUUUAAUCCAGUGUCAUUUCCUUACCUUGAAGUUGUAGUUCAUAUGCCAGUGUACUACUACAGAGAUGAUAAUGGUGUAAACAGAUACCUACCUGAAGAAACUUAUCCGCCUAGGAGAGAGAAAAGAGAGGUCUUGAGUGCUGAUGAGGAUGCUGCUCUUAAGUGGUAUACUAGUUCAGUUCUAGAGAUACCAAGUUAUAUAAAUUCUGCAUUGCGUUCAUCAAGAACAAAUGAAGUUUAUUUCUUCUUAAAAAAUAAGUAUGUGCGGGUUUAUUACACUCCUGGACAAACAGAUGAUAAGAUUUUGACUGAUUUACGUUGGAUUUAUGAUGGCUUUCCAUCACUUGUUGAUACGCCAUUUGGAGAAUAUGGAAUAGACUGUGUCUUCGACACUGAAGGCAACGAAGCAUAUAUCUUUUGUACCAAACUUUGUGCCUACAUAGACUAUGCUCCAGGUACAAUGAAUGACAAGAUUCUCUCAGGUCCUACCACAAUUGCUGAAAUGUUUCCCGUCCUAAAAAACACAGUGUUUGAGAAUGGCAUAGAUUCUGCAUUCAGGUCAACCAAAGGAAAAGAAGUUUACCUAUUCAAGGGAAAUAAGUAUGGUCGCAUAAUGUAUGAUUCCAAACAGCUUGUUGGCACCAUUCGUAAUAUCACUGAUGGGUUUCCUGUUUUGAAAGGUACCAUCUUUGAAAAUGGAAUUGAUGCUUGUUUUGCUUCUCAUAAGGAGAAUCAAGCUUAUCUUUUCAAGGGAGAAAACUAUGUACGGAUCAUUUUCACCCCAGGCACUACCGAUGACACUCUUGUGGGUGAUGUGAAGUCUAUCUUUAAUGGUUGGCCACUUCUUAGAGGCAUUCUACCUCUCGACAAUAAAGGAGUUGAUGCUCAUCCUCAAUCUGAUCAUGAAGAACCAUAUCCUGAUCAACAUGAUGAGCUUUGAAAAAAAAAUAACAAGAUGCCAUAAUAUGAUAAGAAUAAGGCUUUCAUUGCCAAAGUAUUGCUUCCUUUUCUUUCUUUCUUUCCUAAUGUAAUAAGUGUGGAUGCUUGUGUUUACUUUCUUCUAUGUGGAUAUUUGCUUUCCUUUCUUCAUGUAAUGCUAAUGGUUUAAUAAUAAAAGUGUGCUUUUUGAUUGAAUAAAUUAUUCUAAAUUUGUUUCCUUUAAAAAAUUUACGGAGAUGUUUAUUGGUUGAUUUGAUUCCAGUGUAUUUUUUAAAGGCUAUGUGUAACACCCCAUAAUUUACAUAUAACUAUUACAAUAAAAGUUCUACCAGUUUCUAUACAAACUUGGAGUUUUUCAAAACAUUCCUAAUACAUGAUUAGGAUUUAUAGAAAUACAAAUAUUUACAUAUCCACAGCUCAAAAUAAAACUCUGUAACCUCUAAGGCUCUCCUGCACCUGUAUGGUCAUCUGCUCGUGUACAUAGUACAGUCAUCGCAGUUCAAACACAGCAAGAAAAGCAAGGGUAAGCUACUGAAAAUAGAAUUUUAUAAUAUACACACUUAAAUCCAAAGAGAAAACCAAGUUACAUGAUCAAUUUCUCAAAUUACACAAUCUUCUUCAAAUCCCAACAUUAAAACAAUCACAUAGAUCUCACAUGGAUCUACACAUCCAGAAUAUUCAACAAACAACAUCUUCCGGAAGACCCGUAUUAAGUAAGUCCUACCAGAGACUAACACCUGAUCCAAAGAUUACCAGCGAAUCCAACAAAAAGGAUUAGGGUAAGUUCAAUACAACCCAAGCCGUGCAUCUCAUAUGUCACAGUGUGCAUGAACUCCCCCAUCAGCUUCUCACCACCUGAUAUCUUAGUCUAUGUGACUUAGAUCAUCAGUGAAGCUCGGAGAUCUCUGUUACCACUUAGGCAUCAAUACUUAAUAUACAACAAACAUCAGUCCAUACAUUAUCUCAAAUGUAUGAAUUCAAUUUCAUACCAUUUCGUCAUACAAUAUCAUUCAAAAAGUUAUCCACAAUAUUCAAAAGUUUAUUUGGCAUAAAAAAAUACACUUUAAUACUAAAUCAUCAAAACCCAAUAUUUUCACAAAUUUAAAUAAUAUAUAAACAAACAACCCAAUAUAAAUAAACACACAACAUCCCUGCAAGAGAAAUUGAAUAUUGGGACCACGUCCCUUCCGCAUUCAGGUCUUCUAUCCUAGGGUGCUAUUAAAAAAUAAAUUUAGCUUCCCUUACCUCAAUUGCUUGCUUUCCAAGCAACUUUUAGAAUUUUAUUCCCCACCGUUUGGAUAAGCUUCAAGAUUUACGGGCCUAAUGCAAAUUAUCCAAACAGAACAAAAUUUCAGUAUAUAAUAGAAUAAGUUGAGAGGAUUAAACUUCUCAACUGACCCCAUCAAAAUUGAUGACUAAAUCCUAAGGAAAAACAGUGAACACAGGAUAUUUAGAGUAAAAAUGAACUUACUCUGUUUGAAAAUCUGAUCGGGUAGAAAUGUUCCUUAACUCCUCUGCUACAGCGUGGUAUGAUCAGAUUCUAAAAUAGAUGAAGAUUGAGAGAGAAAUUAAGAGAGAGGGAGAGAAGAGAAUUGGAGAGAGAGAGAAAGUGGUUUGGAAGAAUGAAGAAGAAAGUGAUAGUGGGCACACUGUUUCUGCUUUAUAUAAAGAAAGUGUCGUUACACUAUGAUACGUAAACUCAAGUAAAAAUGAUAUAAAGAAGAAAAGAAAAAUAAAUCCAAUAAAAUUAUUGAGGACUAUGUGAAUUUCAUAAAGUAUAAUCUAUUUUUUUAUUGUCAAUAAAUAAAUAAAUUAAAAAAAAUAUUUUAGAAGUGUUAUAAACUUUAUAAAAAUAUCAACAACCUCAUCAUCUUGUUUACGAAUUUAGAAAAAUAUUACAAAUAUCAAUAAUAAGCAAACAAAACCAAUACGAGACCUAGGCUUCCUGCAAAAUUAUGCAGAAAACCUUGCAUAAGUAUCCUUUUGAUGAAGCACAAUCUAUAUGUGAAACAAAAAGAAUGUUCAUAUGUUAAAAACCCCACAACAUAUUAUAAUUAUUAGAAUAAAAAAAUAAUUUAAAAUAAAAUUAUUAGAAUUAGGUGAGUAUCCAAUUUGUACACUUUGAUUUCAAAUGUUAUAUUUAAACAAAAUCAAGUUUGAAAAACUAUACUAAUGACGAUAAUUUAAAAUACAUAAAAUCAAAGAAAUACAAUAAUAUUUAGAGGUGGUGGUGAAAAUUAUCGUCCAUGAUAAUGAACAACAAAAACAACUAUAUAAAAAAUUGUCAUCUAUAUAAAAAUAAAAAUUACAACUUUAAUCACAUCUAAAUUAAAAAAUAAAUUAACGACAAUUAAUAGACAAUAUAUUGAAAAUGAUCACUCUAAAGAUUCUAAAAAUUAUCGUCUAAACACCUUUGUCUCACAAUGAUUAUACAUAUUCUUUUUAGUCAUGGCAAAGAAAAUAAAUAUUAAAUUAAUUAUUAAGAUAUUUAUGUAGGACUAUUAUCGAAUAAAAGGCAUGCAAAAUUGGGUUAUUUCACUUUUUUUAACACAAACAUUCUACUUCACAUAUUUUUUCAAUCGUUUAGUGUUCUUGUUCACACAAAAAAUAUCCUAAGGACCACACGUCACAACAUAUGAAUUUCCAUUAACUUAACAUUAAUUUUGAUAAAUAUAUGAUGUUGUUACAAACCAUGUCAAGGUGACAAUUGUACCAAAAUUGAUUGCAGGUCCCAAACAAAUACAACACGUGAAAAAAUACCACUAGCAGUGUGGAUUCUUUAGCAGAUAUAUACGUAUAUAUAUACACUGCAAUAAUUUUCUUAAAAAUACAUCGUUAAGAUAAAAUUCUGUUUUCAAUUUUCUAUUAAUAUAAAGUAUACACACAAAAUAAAAUAAUAAAUACCAUUAUAAAAUAUAAAAAAAUAUUGAAAGAUAAAAGUUAGAAAUGUCUGAAUUCGAAAAUGAAAAGAAAUAGAAAACAGAAAACGUAUUGAAUUUGAUAGCUUAUCCGAGGACCACACGUUACAUGAUUAUCUUUUUGUAAUUUCUAUAAUUUCAUUUUAUCUUUUUAACGUAUUUCAUUUUAUAAAUUCUAGAGUUGAUAAUUAAACUUUUGAUAAUUAAUUAUAUAUCAAUUUUAAAAUAUUUAUCAAUAAUAAUAAAAACUAAUUUAAAUACUAAUAAUUUUUUAAUAUUUAAAAUAAUAUUUAAUUUACACAAUAUAAUAAAUAAUUAUUUUUAAAAUAAAAUAAAAUUAAUUUUUAUUUAAUAAUUUUUUUAGUAAUAAUCUUUAUAAAAGUUCAAAACUGAAAUUUAGCUAAUUGAAGAAGUUAUAAAAGUUCAAACCUGAAAUUAAUUAUUUGAUUAAAUUAGAAACUAUUUUAUAAAUUAAAAAAAUAUUAAUAUUUAAAAUAAUUUUUAUUAUCAAUAAAAAAAUAUAAUUUUUUAAAACUGAUAUCUAAUUAUUAAUUAUUAAAAUUUUAAUAUAUUUUAAAUUAAUUAUUUUUAGUGUUUUAAAAAUUAAUUUAGAAUUUAAAGUAUUUCUUAGUAAAUAAAAUCUUGAUAACUAAUUUAAAUACUAAUUUAUAAAAUUUUAUUAAUAAAAAACACUUUAUAUAUUAAUAACUUUUUAUUUCUAAAAUAAUAUAUAAUUUAAAGUUAAUACAAUUUUUAUUUUUAAAUUUAAUUAAUAUUUAAUAAUCUUUUAGUGUGAUAUGCAGGCAUAAGUCCAUUUUAUAUAUAUUUUUAUCCUAUAUUAUAUUUGCAUAGCAUAAAUGUCAUCAAAGUAUAACAUUUAUAAUACUAAUUAAUACUCUCGUAGUUAAAAACAGCCUCGUAAAAAAGAGAAAGAAAAAAAAUUCUCUGUUUAAAAAUAAAUAUAAUAGUUACAAAUGAUAUUGUUUAAUUGUUUCCUAUAUCUAAGAACAUAGUUUUUGUUUCCAAUUUUAGUAAUUAUUUUACUAAAAUUAUCAUAAUAAAAAAAUAUCAAUUAGAAUUAGCUUCUAAAUAAUAGCAUAAAAAAUGUAACAUUAUUAAAACCCACUAAGUAAACUUUAACAUGACCUAAAAGAUUAACUUUUUGUGUAAAAAUGUAAAAUUAUUUUUAAAUAUAUUGUUUUGUGUUAAAAAUGUAAAAUUAUUUUUAAAUAUAAUUUUAUAUUAUGUAAAGUGUGUGUAUUGGUUAAGUUGAUGCUUAAUAUGAUAAUAUAGUCAACCUAACUAAUUAUGAGUUGAGGUUAAUUUUUUUUAAAUAUGUAAAAACAUUUGUGUUAAUGUGUAAUAAAUUAAUUAACAUUAACUCAAAUAAAUAUUAAAAUGUAUUUAAUUCCAUAUGGUUUAAUUAACAUUAAAUUAAAUAACUUUUAUAAAGUAAAAAACAUAUGGACGUCAAUUUAGCUAAUAUUAAAUUAUUUUAAUUAAAAAUUAAUGUUAGAGUUUACUUAACUAACACUAAUUAGAAUUGUAAAAAUUGACACUAAUGAACUAGUAUUCAUAGUUUUAGAGCCUGUUACAUAUAUAAUAUAAAUUUAUCACUAUUAAUUAAUUAAUCCUAAUUUUUACUUGUUAGAAUCGAUUUUUAGUGAAGUUAAAUUUAUAUUUUCUUAUAGUGAUUUGAGUUAUAUAAAAAAAAAUGAAAUCAACUUCUUCAAUUAGAUAUAUUUUGGGGUUUGAACUUUCACAAAGAUUAUAUUUUCUAAUUUGGUAUAAAGUGUGUUUAGUUUAGGAUGUAUCUUGAAAUUUUUGUAGGUGAAUUUCUGAUAUAAUAAUUAUGAACUUUUAAUUUUAUUUUCAAUCUAAUAAUAAAUCUCAUGGCUUCUUCAAGAUUAGGAUUGCAAGUUAUGUUACAAAGAGUACUUUAUUCUUCAAGAUUGUAAAUUAUGUCACAAAGGAGUAAAUACAUGCUUGUGUAGACUAGCCUUAAGGAAUUGGAAAGUUAGGUCUCAUUCCUUCCAAUAAGACUCAUACAAGAAUACGAAAUGGUUAAGUCUUGUUUGAUUAGUACUCAUCAUUUUCCAAUAAAGAUCCUAGUUAGUGCAAACUAAUCUAAGUAUCCAAACUACAUAUAUUAUUUUUGGUAGAGUAAAUUUAUUUGGAUUUUUCAAAUCCAUUUAAAACAAACUAAAUUUAUAUUAAAUCUACUUUAUCAAUUAGAUUCAAUUUUUUAUGGGACUGACUUGACGUGGGUCAACUCAACCCAACCUUGGUAGACUUGACUCGACCUACCUUAAGUCGACUCAGCUCGACAUGAUCUACCUGGUCCGAGCUGACUAAGCUCGAAUCGGGCCCAAGCCGACUCGGUUCGACCUAGAUCUGACUUGACUUGGCUUGAGUUGGGUUAGACGUGUUGACUUGAACUCGGGCCAACUCGACUCGACCUUGAAUCGCACCGACUUGGCUUUUUCUAAACCUAGGCCAACUCAACUCGACCUGGAUCUGGGCUGACUUGGCUCAACUUGGCCUCGGGCCAACUUGGCACGACAUGGAACAUGUCCGACUAGCCUCGAACUAGGCUUAUGCGCAGACUGACUUGGAAGCAGGUUGAUUUAGCUAGACUUGGGCUCGAGUAGACUCGACUCGACAUGGGACCAUACAUACUUGACUCGACUUGGCUCAACCUGGAUUUGGGCCGACUCGGCUUGGCAAGGGGCCCAUGCCGACUCAUCUUGAAAUGGGUUCAAGUUGACUCGACUUGACCUGGUACCAAGACAACUUGGCUCGACUUGAGCCCAGACUGACUCUGCUCUACAUAAGCCCAUGCUGACUCAACUUGACAUGGGGUCAUGUCGGCUCAGCUCAACUUGGUACUAGGUCGAUUCAAGUUGACUUGGGCCUGAACCAACUCGGUUGAUAGAGGCUCGACACGACUUGGGCCUGAACAGACUCGGUUGGACAGUGUUCGAAUCGACUCGACUCCACCAAGACCUAAGUUGACUCGGCUGGACCUGGACUUGGGUCGAAUCAACUGCACUGGGCCGGACAGGCUUUACCUCAGCAUGCACUGACUCUACUCCACAUGGGCAUGAGCUCACCUGUCUCUACAUGGGUUUGGGUUGACUUAGCUCAAACUGGGUCCAUGCCAUCUCAAGUCAACAUGGGUCCAGGUUGACUCGACUCGAUCCGGGCUGGGGUCGAGACAACUCGACAUGGGUUCGGGUUAACUCGACUCGGCCCGGAUCGACUCGGCUAGACCUGGUCCCGUGUCAUGUUGGCUCGACUUGGACUGGAUCAUUUUGACUCAAUCUAGGCCCAAGUCGACUCAACUAGACUUGGGCUCGAAUCGACUUAGCUCGACUUGAGUCCUGGUUUACUUGACUCAACCUAGGUCCGAAAUGACUCAAAAUCCAUCACAAAAUUCAUUUUGGAUAAUUAAAAAUGUAUUGAAUGUAUAUCUAAUCCAAAUCUAUUUAGAUGAAUUGAAUUUAAAUCCAAAAAAUAAAUUUGAAUUUAAAAUCUAAAAAAUAAAUUUGAAUUUAAAAUAAAUAUAUUUAAAUGGACUUACAAACAAUAAAUUUUUUUUGAAUAAUUAUGAAUUACAAUUUAAUUUUUUUAAAAAGAUAGGUACCUUAUAAAAGAAUGGUUUUAAAGGGAGGUAAAAGAGUGAAUGGUUAUAAAAUUAUACAAUAAAUUGGUACAUUGUAUAUUCAAAUAACAACUUACGUGUUUCAUGCAUUUACAUUGGAUGCACUCAUAUAUCCAUUAAGUACAUGAUAAUAGGUUGUUUUCUAAUUUUAACAUUUUUUUUACUAAAAUUAGCAUAGUUCAUAUUGUAAGAAAAUGAUUAUGAGAUAUUAUGAUAUACUAGAAUUUAGUUUAUGAACACAUGACUAUCUUUAAGGAUGGUAUAUUCAGCUUAGUAAAUAUUGAUUAAAGUUAUAUUAUGGAUAUAUUUACUUAUUAUUUAAUAAAUAAAUAUUAAUCAAUAUUUUUUAUUGAUAGCAAUCAUAUAUUUAUAUUUUUCAUUUGUAACAUUAACAAUGACACUAAAUUUAUUAAAAUAUUAUUUCUCAUUUGUAUAUUUAGAUUUAAUUUUAAUAAAUCAUAGGUACGUAUAAUCUCUUUUAUUUAAUUUUUAAUAUUAAAUAUAAAUAUAUAUAUAUAUAAAUAAUAAAAUAAAAAAUAUGAAUGCAUAUAUAUUAGAGUAUCUGUGUGUUUCCGUAGUAAUUAAUAAUAAAAAAUUAUAAAACUAAAAAAAUUAAAGUUAUGACAAAUUAUAUAUUUAUAAAAAAUAAUGUAAAGUUAAUGGAAAUUCAUAUGUUGUGAAGUGCGGUCACUCGGAUAUGUGAUUUGUAUGAACAAAAAACACUAAACGACAUGAAAAAAAAAUCUUACAUAAAUAUUUUGGUUUGUAUGAAAAAAAAAAAUCCAAUUUUGCAUUCAUUUUAUUCGAUAAUAAUCUUACAUAAAUAUUUUAUCUUUCACUACAAGACAAUCAUGAAAUAAAAACUAAUUUUUAGAUACCAAAAUAAUUAGUUGUAAUAAUAACUAAAUUAGAGACCAUUUUAAAAAUUAAAUAAAAAAUUAGUUUAUAAAUUAGUUUUUAUUAUUGUUAAAUAGUUUCUAAAUUGGUAUCUAAUUACUAACCAAGGUUUUAGAGACCAAAUUUAGAAACUAAAUAAUUGGUAGUUAAAACCUUGGUUGUUAAUUAGAUACCAAUUUAGAAAUUAUUUAACAAUAAUAGAAACUAAUUUAGAAACCCAAUUUUUUUAUUUAGUUUCUAAAAUGGUUUCUAAUUUAGUUAAUAUUGCAAGUAAUUAUUUUUGUUUCUAAAAAUUUGUUUCUAUUUCAUGAUUUUCUUGUAGUGUUUUAACAUAAACAAUCCUACAUAGUUAUAUUAAAAUCCUUUUUUUUCAAUAUUUCUUUCAUUAAAUAAAUACAUAAGACAAUUUAAACCGUAAAUUUUAAAGUCAGUAGCUAAAAUUUUGUUACCUAAUUAAAUACCAAUUUAAAAAUUAUUUAUCAAUAAUAAAAAAUAAUUUAUAUAUUAAUUUUUUAAUAUUUAAAAUAAUAUUUAAUUUAUUCAAUAUAUCAACUAAUUAUUUUUAAUUUUUAAAAUUAAUUUUUAUUUAAUAAUUUUCUCAUAGUGACCCUUUUUAUAAAAUUUCUAAAUUUCUAGAAAUUUAACUAACCGAAGAAGUUGAUUGAAUAAAAAAGAAAAUAGUGUAAAUAACUAACAUCAUUACGAGAAAAUACAGAUUUAGUGUCAAUUAAAAGUCAACUCAACUAAGUAGAAAUAGACAUUAAUUAGUCAAUAACAUUAGAUAUAGGUAUCUAUGUAAUUUAUUAGUGUAUCUAUGUAGUAUAAGUUAAUACUCACUAAUACAAAACAAUGUUUUAAUGACGAUUAAAAGGAUUUUUAUCUAAUAACUGUUAUUAUUUUAGAUAUUAUUUUAGAUGUCGUUAUAAAUUAGUUAUUUAUAAUGACGAUUUUAGAACCGUUCUUAUAAAACUUCAUUAAUUACACGUAUAAAAAAUAUCAUUAUUUUGUUAAAUAAAAGAAAAAAUAUAUUUAUAACAACAAUUUUAAUAAUUUUUUAGUUUAUAAAAUUAUUUUUAAUUUAAUUAAAUAAUAACUAAUUAUUUUAAUUUAUAAAAUUAAUUUUUAUUUAAUUAUUUUAUUACUGUGUUAUUUACUCACUAUUAAAAAUAUUGUUUUAAUAACUACACAGUAGAAAAGUUAAACUAUAAUUAUAAGGUGAUACAAUAGAAUUUUAAAAUGGAUCAAUCUCUUCAAAUAGAUUUACAUCUCAGAAAUAUCACUCUUUUAGCUGCAUUAUUGUAUUAAUAGGUAUUUUACUCCAAAUUGUUAUCACUUGGCUUUUAAUUUAGCGCAUAAAUAAUCAGUGGGAUGUCAUAAAAUGCCAAGAUUAAAAUAAUAUUUUUAUUUUAAAAAGAAUGAAAAUAAGUGAAUUAUGUUUCACAGAAAUAUAAUAUUUUAUUUGAAAAGAACAAAACAAAAUUAAAAUUAAAAUUAAAACACACUUAUUUUAUAUGUGAUGAUAACAUAUUUAACCUUAUUAUCAAAACAACUUUUCGUUUCGUGUACGAAUAUAGCAACCAUCAUUGAGUAUAUGGAAUCACAUACAGCACAAGUUUUAUUUGUGUUACUUCAGCUAGUUUUUUUUUUUUUUAUUGGUGUUUCGUCUAUUUGAUUUGUCUGUAUUUGCUUUAGUGGAAUGUUGGAUGAAGUUUCUGUCAGAUUUUGUUUUGUCAUGUUAUGUCAGUAGCUGCUUUGUUUUUUAGAUGUUUGAAAGAUGUUAUGCGGUUAGACUCGUACCCUUUUGUAUAAUGAUUGAAUCACUAUUGGAGUGGUUCUUGGGUAUAUAUAUUAUUGAUUGCUGAUAAAAAAAAGUCACGAAAAUUUUAAUUUGAUUUAAAAAAUAUUUUAAUGAUGUUUAAAUAUAACUUUUUUCUAUAUAUAUUAUGGAAUUUUAUAUUUAGUUCACACAAUUUAAAAAAAAAUAUAUAUAGUUAAAUAUAAUUAUUAUUUUUAUAUAUAAGACAUAUAAUUUUUUUGUGUUAUUACUCUAUUCAAAUCUUAUUUUUCAAUAUUUCUUACAUUAAAUUAAAUAAACAGAAAAGACAAUUUAAAAUAUAUCUUUUUCAAUGAUGGUAAUAUUUCAUAAUAAGUUAAAUUAUAUAUAUAUAUAUAAUUUUUUUUAAAAAAACGAAAAUGACUAUGUGAAUGUUUUCGUCCGUGUAUAUAUAUAUAUAAUUAUUGUAUAUUAGUAAUUAUUAUGGUAGGAAUGGAGAAAGUUGAUGUGAUGACAAAAGAGUAUACGACAAGGAUUUUAAGUAUUUUUGUUUUAGGUUACCUCUAACCCCACCCUUUAACCUUAUCUAGAAGUAAGACGAAUGACACAUUUUUCACGUGCUUUACUUUAAGCUAGAAAUAAGUGUAUUAAUGGUAGUUUCCAAUAACAAUAGCAAAGAAGUUCCCACUCCAUGAUAGUAUAAAUAGGUGUCUCUCAUAGGAAUCUAACCAUCCUCAAAUCAAAUCAUAUCCCUUUGUAAAGUUUGUUAAGAAAAUGUCAAUCCCUCCACCAAAUGAUCCAUCUAGAGGCUGCUCCUCAGAGUUCUCACAGCCUCUACAGCUACAAGAUUUGGUUGACGCUCAAGAAUUAUUGGAAAAUGUGAACCGUGUGAACGUUGUUGAAGGAAACUUGACAAGAAUUGAGUACAGGAUAGGUGAUCAAGAAUUAGAUAUUCGCCGCCCUGUGUAUCGUUGGGACAGAAGGCCCUACCAUGACAUCUUUGUAAAUGGCUUUCAAGCAUGGCCUCAGGAACAAACUCCCAACUCCACUUACUAUAAUUUACAUCACUUCAUUAAUCAUGCAGGUGCCCCUCUUGAUCCAGAUCGGCCUUUAAAUACAAGACAUGUCUUUGUGAGUACCACUCUCAGUAAUAGUUGGCAACCAAGACCUUCAACUGCAGUCCUCCCACCCGGCUCUCAUAUUCAAUUUUAUCGUUAUGAAAUUUAUGCUCCUGGUGGUAUUUGGGUUGCUGUCACUCUUGGGCAUCAAUACGACCAAUAUGCUUCUCAAGCUGAAGUUUGCUUUGUUGGAGGUAUUGCACCUCAGUACAUUCGAUCUUGUCUCAUAUUCACAGUAACGCGUGAAGCCGGAUCAAGGUUGGAUUACAUCUCAUGCUAUAUUAUUUUUAUAAUCACCUUAUAUCAUCGAUCACUAGCUAUAAGUUAUUAUAUUGUGCAGGUAUCCGAGAUUUCAGAGAGAAAGAAGAUUGGUGAUAAACAGGAAUUUUAAUCCAGUGUCAUCUCCUUACGCUGAAGUUGUAGUUUAUAUGCCGGUGUACUACUACAGAGAUGAAAACGGUGUAAACAGAUACCUACCUGAAGAAACUUAUCCGCCUAGGAGAGAGAAAAGAGAAGCUUUGGAUGCUAACGAGGAUGCUGCUCUUAAGUGGUAUACUAGUUCAGUUUUAGAGAUACCAAGUUAUAUAAAUUCUGCAUUGCGUUCAUCCAGAACAAAUGAAGUUUAUUUCUUCUUAAAAAAUAAGUAUGUGCGGCUGUAUUACACUCCUGGACUGACAAAUGAUAAGAUUUUGGCUGAUUUGCGUUGGAUUGGUGAUGGCUUUCCAUCACUUAUUGAUACGCCAUUUGGAGAAUAUGGAAUAGACUGUGCCUUCGACACUGAAGGCAACGAAGCAUAUAUCUUCUCUACCAAACUUUGUGCCUACAUGGACUAUGCUCCAGGUACACUGAAUGACAAGAUACUCUCAGGUCCUACCACAAUUGCUGAAAUGUUUCCCGUCCUAAAAAACACAGUGUUUGAGAAUGGCAUAGACUCUGCAUUCAGGUCAACCAAAGGAAAAGAUGUUUACUUAUUCAAGGGCAAUAAGUAUGGUAUCAUAGAGUAUGAUUCCAAGCAGCUUGUUGGCACCAUUAGUAACAUCACUGAUGGGUUUCCUGUUCUGAAAGGUACCAUCUUUGAAAAUGGAAUUGAUACGUGUUUCGCUUCUCAUAAAGAGAAUCAAGCUUAUCUUUUCAAGGGAGAAAACUAUAUACGGAUCAAUUUCACCCCAGGUACUACAGAUGACACUCUUGUGGAUGUUGUGAAGCCCAUCCUUAAUGGUUGGCCAAUUCUUAGAGACAUUCUGCCUCUCGACAAUAAAGGAGUUGAUGCCAAUUCUCAGACUGAUCAUCAACAACAAUAUCCUCAACAACAUGAUGACCAUGAUGAGCUUUAAAGAAAAAAGAACAAGAUGUCAUAAUAUGAUAAGAAUAAGGCUUUCAUUGCCAAAGUUUGUUUCCUUUUCUUUCCUAAUGUAAUGUAAUAAGUGUGAUGCUAGUGUUUACUUGUAUUUGGAUAUUUGCUUUCCUUUCUUCAUGUAAUAUUAAUGGUUUAAUAAUAAAAGUGUGCUUUUUGGUUGAAUAAAUGAUUCUAAUUUUUUUUCCUUUAAAAAAUUUACGGAGAUGUUUAUAGGUUGAUUUGAUUCCAGUGUAUUUUUUAAAGGCUAUGAUACGUAAAUCCAAGUAAAAAUGAUAUAAAGAAGAAAAGAAAAAUAAAUCCAAGAAAAUCAUUGAAGACUAUGUGAAUUCCACGAAGGACUAAUAAUAAAAAAAAUGUGGAUAUACGUGUUUCACUAAUACAAAAUAAAGACGACAACUUUAACCAUUGUCUAAAUUAAGAAAAAAAAAUAACGACAAUCUAACGGAUUGAAAAUCAUCACACUGAAAUUCUAAAAUUAGUUAUCUAAAAAUCUUUGUCUCAAUGCAAUCAUACAUUUUUUUUUUCAUGGCAAAGAAAAUAAAUAUUAAAUUAAUUACUAUGAUAUUAUGUAGAACUAUUAUCGAAUAAAACGCAUGCAAAAUUGGGUUAUUUCACUUUUUUUUAUACAAACAUUCUACUUCACAUAUUUUUUCAAUCGUUUGGUGUUCUUGUUCAUACAAACCAUAUCCCAGAGACCACACGUCAAAACAAUUAAACCAUAUCCCAAAGACCACACAAAAACAUAUGAAUUUCUAUUAACAUUAAUUUUGAUAACUAUGAUGUUGAUACAAACCGUAUCAAGGUGACAACUGUACCAAAACUAAUUGCAGGUCCCAAACAAACACAACACGUGAAAAAAUACCAGCAACGGUGUGGAUUCUUUAACACAUAUAUAAAAACUGUAAUAAAUUUCUUAAGAAUACAUCGUUACGAUAAAAUUAUGUUUUCAACUUUUUAUUUAAUUUUUUUAAAAUCAAUUUUAUACUUUCUAUUUCAAUUUUUUUAUUAAUAUAAAGUAUACACACACAAAAAUAAUAAAUAUCAUUAUAAAAUAAAUUAAAAAAAUAAAUCACUUUCGUGUUUAUCAAAAACAACUUCUCACUUCUCUCUCACCUUAUAAGUUACAAUAUUAACGUAUCUCAAGUCUGACUCUCUUCUCUUAUUUUCUUUUCUAAAGGAGACACAACAUUCCAUUUUCACUUUUUUUUCUCUUUCUCUUUACUUCUCUCUUUUUUUUAUGGUACUCUCAUUCUCAAUUUUUUUCAAUUUUUUCUGAUUUUGUUCCAAUUGUUCCAUCUUCUUUACAUGUGUUUCUGUAUAUAGUUUUGUAUUGGUUUACAAGCACGUGAAGUUUGGUCCCUUGGUUGAAUUAAAACGAGUGACUCUUUGUCCAACAUGUUCUCUUCUCCAAUUUCUCUUUGUCCAAGUAUUUUUGUUUUAGGUUACCUCUAACCCCACCCUUUAACCUUAUCUAGAAGUAAGACGAAGGACACAUUUUUCACUUGCUUUACUUUAAGCUAGAAAUAAGUGUAUUAAUGGUAGUUUCCAAUAACAAUAGCAAAGAAGUUCCACUCCAUGAUAGUAUAAAUAGGUGUCUCUCAUAGGAAUCUAACCAUCCUCAAAUCAAAUCAUAUCCCUUUGUAAAGUUUGUUAAGAAAAUGUCAAUCUCUCCACCAAAUGAUCCAUCCAGAGGUUGCUCAUCAGAAUUCUCACAGCCUCUACAGCUACAAGAUUUGGUUGACGCUCAAGAAUUAUUGGAAAAUGUGAACCGUGUGAACGUUGUUGAAGGAAACUUGAGAGGAAUUGAGUACAGGAUAGGUGAUCAAGAAUUAGAUAUUCGUCGCCCUGUGUUUCGUUGGGACACAAGGCCCUAUCAGGACCUCUUUGUAAAUGGCUUCCAAGCAUGGCCUGAGGGACAAACUCCCAACUCCACUUACUAUAAUUUGCUUCACUUCAUUGAACAUGCAGGUGCCCCUCUUGAUCCAAACCCGUCUUCAACUACAAGACAUGUCUUUGUGAGUACCACUCUCAACAAUGCUUGGCAACCAAGACCUUCAACUGCAGUCCUCCCACCCGGCUCUCGUAUUCAAUUUUAUCGUUAUGAAAUUUAUGCUCCUGGUGGUAUUUGGGUUGCUGUCACCCUUGGAGAUCGAUACCAAUAUGUUUCUCAAGCUGAAGUUUGCUUUGUUGGAGGUAUUGCACCUCAGUACAUUCGAGCUUGUCUCAUAUUCACAGCAACACGUGAAGUCGGAUCAAGGUUGGAUUACAUCUCAUGUUAUAUUAUUUUUAUAAUCAUCUUAUAUCAUCCAUCACUAACUACAAGCUAUUAUAUUGUGCAGAUUUCCGAGAUUACAGAGAGAAAUAAGAUUGGUGAUAAACAGGAAUUUUAAUCCAAUGUCAUCUCCUUACGCUGAAGUUGUAGUUUAUAUUCCGGUGUACUGGUACACAGAUGAAAACGGUAAAAACAGAUACCUACCCGAAGAAAUUUAUCCGCCUAUGAGAAAGAAAAGAGAGACCUUGGAUGCUGAUGAGGAUGCUGCUCUUAAGUGGUAUACUAGUUCAGUUUUAGAGAUACCAAGUUAUAUAAAUUCUGCAUUGCGUUCAUCAAGAACAAAUGAAGUUUAUUUCUUCUUAAAAAAUAAGUAUGUGCGGGUGUAUUACACUCCUGGAGAGACAGGUGAUAAGAUUUUGACUGAUUUGCGUUGGAUUUAUGAUGGCUUUCCAUCACUUGUUGAUACGCCAUUUGGAGAAUAUGGAAUAGACUGUGCUUUCGACACUGAAGGCAACGAAGCAUACAUCUUCUGUACCAAACUUUGUGCCUACAUGGACUAUGCUCCAGGUACAACAAAUGACAAGAUUCUCUCAGGUCCUACCACAAUAACUGAAAUGUUUCCCGUCCUAAAAAACACAGUGUUUGAGAAUGGCAUAGACUCUGCAUUCAGGUCAACCCAAGGAAAAGAAGUUUACUUAUUCAAGGGCAAUAAGUAUGGUCGCAUAAAGUAUGAUUCCAAGCAGCUUGUUGGCACCAUUCGUAACAUCACUGAUGGAUUUCCUGUUUUGAAAGGUACCAUCUUUGAAAAUGGAAUUGAUGCGUGUUUCGCUUCUCACAAGGAGAAUCAAGCUUAUCUUUUCAAGGGAGAAAACUAUGUACGAAUCAUCUUCACCCCAGGUACUGCAGAUGACACUCUUGUGGGUAAUGUGAGGCCUAUCUUUGAUGGUUGGCCGCUUCUUAAAGGCAUUCUACCUCUCGACAAUAGAGGAGUUGAUGCUCAUCCUCAGUCUGGUCAGGAAAAACCAUAUCCCGAUCAGCAUGAUGAGCUUUGAAAAAAAAAAGAACAAGAUGCCAUAAUAUGAUAAGAAUAAGGCUUUCAUUGCCAAAGUUUGCUUCCUUUUCUUUCCUAAUGUAAUAAGUAUGGAUGCUUGUGUUUACUUUCUUGUAUGUGGAUAUAUGCUUUCCUUUCUUCUUGUAAUGCUAAUGGUUUAAUAAUAAAAGUGUGCUUUUUGGUUGAAUAAAUGAUUCUAAAUUUUUUCCUUUAAAAAAAUUACGGAGAUGUUUAUAGGUUCAUUUGAUUCCAGUGUAUGUUUUAAAGGCUAUGAUACGUAAACCCAAGUAAAAUGAUGUGAAGAAGAAAAAAAAAAAAUCUAAGAAAAUCAUUGAGGACUAUGUGAAUUCCAUAAAGUAUAAUCUAUUUUUUUUAUUAACAAUAAAUAAAUAUAUUAAAAAAUAUUUUAGAAGUAUCAUAACCCUUAUAAAAAUAUCAACAACCUCAUCAUCUUGUUUACGAAUUUGAAAAAACAUUACAAAUAUCAAUAAUAAAGUAAACAAAACCAAUACAUAUUCUUUUUUAGUCAUGACAAAGAAAAUAAAUAUUAAAUUAAUUAUUAAGAUAUUUAUGUAGGACUAUUAUCGAAUAAAAGGGAUGCAAAAUUGGGUUAUUCCAUUUUUUUAUAUACAAACAUUCUACUUCACAUAUUUUUUCAAUCGUUUAGUGUUCUUGUUCACACAAACAAUAUCCUAAGGACCACACAUCACAACAUAUGAAUUUCCAUUAACUUAACAUUAAUUUUGAUAAAUAUAUGAUGUUCAUACAAACCAUAUCAAUGUAACAACUGUACCAAAAUUGAUUGCAGGUCCCAAACAAAUACAACACGUGAAAAAAUACCACUAGCAGUGUGGAUUCUUUAGCAGAUAUAUACGUAUAUAUAUACACUGCAAUAAUUUUCUUAAAAAUACAUCGUUAAGAUAAAAUUCUGUUUUCAAUUUUUUAUUAAUAUAAAGUAUACACACAAAAUAAAAUAAUAAAUACCAUUAUAAAAUAAAUAAAUAAAUAUUGAAAGAUAAAAGUUAGAAAUGUCUGAAUUCGAAAAUGAAAAGAAAUAGAAAACAGAAAACGUAUUGAAUUUGAUAGCUUAUCCGAGGACCACACGUUACAUGAUUAUCUUUUUGUAAUUUCUAUAAUUUCAUUUUAUCUUUUUAACGUAUUUCACAAUUUGUUUAAUAAUUAUAAUAAAUAAUUAUAAAAUUGAAAGAAUUAAUGUUAUGGCAACAUCAUAUAUUUAUCAAAAUUAAUGUUUAAGUUAAUGGAAAUUCAUAUGCUGUGAUGUGUUGUAACGACUUUAUAAUAUGUGAAGUAGAAUGUUUGGGACCAGUCCUCUAUCUGGUUUGUAUGAAAAAAGAGAGUAAAAUAACCCAAUUUUGCAUGCAUUUUAUUCGAUCAUAAUCCUACUUAAAUAUCUUAUCUUUCAUCAUAAAUAAUCCUACAUAAUUAUAUUCAACUCUUAUUUUUCAAUAUUUCUUACAUUAAGUAAGACAAUUUAAACUAUAAAUUCUAGAGUUGAUAAUUAAACUUUUGAUAAUUAAUUAUAUAUCAAUUUUAAAAUAUUUACCAAACAAAUUGAAUUGUAUAUCUUGUCCUAUAUAAAAUUUAGAGGUUUCUCAAUUGUAUUUUUCCUUUAAUUGUAGUUUGGACACUAUAUCAGCUGCUUAUUAACACUAGCUCCAACUUUUGAUCACCAAAUCCGAAUCAUAACGCGGAGCUGAGUGUCAUGGAAUACGAAUUGCAAUAAAGAACUACCACCAUGUUGGAAAUCUCACAUCGACUAGAGAUAAAGACAUUUCAUAAUAUAUAAAUGGGUGCAAAUCUCACUCCUUCAUUGAGCCGGUUUUAUGAGGUUGAGUUAGGCUUAAAACCCACUUCUUAACAUGGUAUCAGAGCCAUUUCGAACCUAUCCUAUCCUAACGAGUAUUUGUUGGGUUUAUCUGUCCACCCGCUAUCGGGCCGUUACCAGACCACCCAUAACAUAUAUCUCCACGCACGAGUUGGUAGCCUCGGCGUGAGGGGUGGGUUGGAAAUCCCAUAUCGACUAGAUAUAAAGACAUUUCAUAAUAUAUAAAUGGAUGCAAACCUCACUUCCAUGAGCCGGUUUUAUGGAGUUGAGUUAGGCUUAAAGCCCACUUCUUAACACACCAAACCAGAAUAGUUGCACCAUAAACUGACAUUGACUGACAACACCCCUUUGCACCAUCCAGAACAGCAUAGGAUACUUGAAAGGAGCACUAAACCAGACCAUAAACAACACCCCUUUACACAUACCUUCUUUUUAUGCAUAAAAUGGGAUUCAAAUGCCAUUCCGAAUAAGAAAAAGUGAAAGAAACCUUUAUUUCAACCAUAACGAGGAUCUCAGCUGUGCCAUUUGGAAUAUUUCUUCUGCAUCAGAUACUUCUUAGCCACCCAUACACCUUUCCACACUAUAUUCUCUGCUUAGUGCUCAAGUGAAUAAGGCAGAUACUAUGAGUGGAAAUUUCAAGUUUGUUCAUGUUGUGGUAAAUCAAUUGCUAGAAUAUAAUUAUUUCUUUUAAUUUUUUUGUUGCUUGAAUAACUUAAGCCUCAUUUCUUUUCUUCUCAGGAAUCUGAAAUUAAAGAAAUAGAAGAGAAGCAGGUAUAGUCAAUUUGAUUUAGGUCACUACUGCAUAAUUUGAUUUUUUGUGUUAUUAUGCUUUAUCUGUGAUUUACUAGCAGAUAUAUGUGUGUAUAUAUAGAAACUGCAAUAAAUUUCUUAGAAAUACAAGUUAAGAUAAAAUUAUGUUUUCAACUUUCUCUGUUUUUAAUAGUUAUUAAAUUUAGUAUUAGCGUAAUCAAUGCUAAACUUAACUUUUUUUAAUAUUUGUAUUUAAUUUAAAUCAGUAUCGGUUAACGUUAAUAUUAUUUAUUGUUAAUAUUUAUUUAAAUUAACAUAAUCUAACUGAAGUUACUCUAACAUUUUAAUAUUUAUAUAAAAAUUUGAAUCGACUGAUACGAUGUGUGAUUUUAUGCAGGUUUUGUACUGUUGUCUUGUGAGUAUCGUUUCUGUGCUGGUAUGGUUGAGAAGGGAUUGCUUCUUUUUGCAGGUUCUACAAGUGGAGAAAGUAAGAGAGAAAUAAUGAGGCAAGAAAGCAAAGCACAUCAAUGAACAAGAUUGGAACAUAUGAAUCAAUGAUGACAAGAAGUGCUUAGCAGAUUAGUUUAAAAUACACACAUAUCUGUUAAACCAAACCACACAACCACACACUUUUUAUUUAUAAUAUGAAAAUAGGAAAGACAAACAUGCAGAGUUGCUACAUUAGGAAAAGGAAAGAGGCUUUCAAUCCUAAUGUUACAUUAAAGAGACAGAAACAAACGUUUGCAAUGACAGCCUUAUUUCUAGCAUAUUAUCAGAUCAUGCUUUUUGAUGGAGAGUGAAGCCUUCUUUAGCUGAUAGGCAAAAUGCCUCUAAGACAUGUCCAACCAUCAAGGAUAGGCCUCACUUCACCCACAAUACGGUCACCACUUGUACCUGGAGUGAAUUUGAUACGAACAUAUUUCUCUCCUUUGAAAAGGUAAGCUUCAGACUCCUUAUGGGAACAAAAACACGCAUCAAUUCCACUUUCAAAGAUCGUACCUCUCAGAAUAGUAAACCCAUCAGCGAUGUUACGAAUGCUGCCAAUAAGCUGCUUGGAAUCAUAGUCUAUGCGAGUAUACUUAUUGCCCUUGAAUAAGUAAACCUCUUUCCCUUUGGUUGAUCUGAAUGCAGAGUCUAUGCCAUUCUCAAACACUGUGUUUGAGGACGGGAAACAUUUGAGCAAUUGUGGUAGGACCUGAGAGAAUCUUGUCAUUUGUUGUGCCUGGAGCAUAGUCUAUGUAGACACAGUAUUUGGUUGAGAACACAUAUGCUUUACUCUCUUCGGUGUCAAAGGAACAGUCUAUUCCAGGUUCUGCAAAGAACGAUGCAGUAAGUGAUGGAAAACCACUACUAAUCAAACGCAGAUUAGUCAAAAUCUUAUCAUCUGAUUUUCCUGGAGUGUAAUACAGCCGCACAUACUUAUCCUUCAUGAAGAAAUAGACUUCAUAUUCUCUUGAUGAACGAAAUGCAGCAUUGAUGUAAGCCAUCUUUCUUAACACAAGAGAGAGAUAUAUGAUUUGAUUUGAGGAUGCUUACAUUCCUCCCAGAGGCACCUAUUUAUACUGUUAUGGAGUUGGAACUUCUUUACUAUUGGUAAUGGAAAGG
rnacentral:lncRNA from 1 species